rnacentral:lncRNA from 1 species
CUGUAUAGAGUUGUAAACCAAGCUUUUGUUUUGUCUUCGCUUGAAGGGGCGUGUCGAUGAUCCUUCUUAUGAGAAGGCCAAGCCUGGGUUGGUUCCAGUCAGGUAUCUCGGCCUAACGUUUGGCAUUCAACUUGUUUACUUCCUCAAGGAGCUGUAGGGCAAUGGGGUCCUGAGUGGAGUCAUGUGUCACUGGAAUUUUCUUUCGUAAGUCUUCAUCGCCUCUUGGAAGUAGGAAAGUUUAAGCAAUGACGUGUGGUUUUUUCAUGGACUCGCUGUACUGACUUUUAGGGCAAGUAUGUCGGAAUACCUCAGAGUCCCCCAUACCUUCAUGUUCCUCUGGGACCAGUCAUUCCUUCCCUAGAUUGGCAGUUGGCCUGGGUCGUGGGAGGGGAUCGAGUCUUUCAGAAACCCUUGGGUCAUUGAUUUUCGAGCAUAUGUGGAGGGGAUUUUUUCGACGUUGCUUUAGGAAGUCUCGGCAGUCACGAUAAAUGGUUUUCGAUCCUUCCAACCUUUCUGCAAGGAGGUGUCUUCCUCCACUUUUUCUACUUCGGGUCGAAGCAUCUGGGUUGAAAGAAGUCUCAUGUUGAUCAAUGUUUUGAUGAUUAGCUCGCUCCUCAUCAGGGAUACCCAUGUCGAAUGGAGGUGACCCUCCGUGUUGGGGGGCACCCAGAUGAUAGUUGAUGUCCAUAGGGGUAACGAGCUUCCGUGUUUGAGUACGCUUAGUUUCGUGGAGUGUCUUAAAGAGCUUCUCAUACUGCUCCUGGAGGACCUCAUUCUUCAUUUCUAUCUUGUUGUUCUAAGCUUUUAGCUCAUCGACUUUAGCUUGAAAAGCAACCAUCUUUCCUUCAUUCUUUCGUUUCUUCGCACUAGGUGCAAGAGGGGUGUCAUUCUAUGUGCUGUGGCUUCCUUCGCUCCCCAUGUUGGAAAGGGAUGCCUGGUCAAAAUAGAGUGUACGAAUGGUGGAAACCAGCUUGGCAAAGCUGAAGAGAGUGGGAAUAAGUGUCGUUCCCACAGACAGCGCCAAAUGUUGAUACACAAAAUCAGCGAGGACUUUGGUACAACAAAAAGUGUUAAGUUUGUGACAUUCGCUAGAUUGCUCCGAUCAUUAGUGUGGAUAAGUAAGUAAAUGGAUAGGGACAGGGAAGCAAACACAAGAUGUACGUGGUUCACCCAGAUUGGCUACGUCCACGGAGUAGAGGAGUUCUCAUUAAUUGUGAAAGGUUUACACAAGUACAUAGGUUCAAGCUCUCCUUUAGUGAGUACUAGUGAAUGAUUUGGUACAAAUGACAUUAGGAAAUAUUGUGAGAGAAUGAUCUCUAUUUAUAGAAGAGAGUUUCUAGUUUCAUUCUGACUUUGACACGUGUCGUGUUGUGAUUGGCUUCUGAUGUUGACACGUAUCGCGCUAUGAUUGGCUUCUGAUGUCGACACGUGUCGCACUGUGAUUGGCCUCCUGGUUGGAGGAAAACUCUUCUGGGUCAUUGACGGUAUAAUGUUGACUGGUGCUCAGUAGUUUCGGGAUUGGUCAAGUAUGGUACAAACACAAAAUGUAUUGAUGCUAGGUGAAUAAGUCGCAACACAAAAUGAAAACGGACCAAUGCCAAAUUAAAAUGUAUCGACCAAAUUUAUUUAUUGGUACUAGAUAAAGUACGGACCCAAUUUAUUUACCCAUUCUAUACAUGCCACUUCAAGUAAUGCUUAGAAAGUACAUGCCUACUAACACACAAUUAACUUUAUAAAUUAAAUAUGAAAAUAAAUGUACCAAUCAACAAUAUUAAUAAAAUCGCUUUGAAAAAAAUGUAUAAAGUUAAAUUGAAUAUAGAAAUAAACGUACCAAUCAACAAUAUGAGUAAAAUUGCUUUAAAAAAAUAAUAUAUAUAUAUAUAUAUAUAAUCAAACGAUUGUGGUGGCACUAGUGGCGGUUGUGGUGGCAGUUGUGACGAUUGUGGUGGCGGUGCAGUGGUGGUGGUGGUGGCAGUGGCGGUGAUGUAAGGUUAGUGUUUAUAGUGGUAAGUGGUGGCAAUCAUUUUAUUCUCCAAGGAUUAAAUGUGUGUAGAAGGAUAAAAUAUGUUAUUUUAAAAAACUAAUGAAGGUAUUACAAGAAUUGAAAAUUUUCAUUAAAUGCUCAAUUCCUUUUAAAAACAACCUAUAUGCUUCUUUUAAAAAUUGUUGUAUGGAGACUAUUGUUUUUAAAAUAAACAGAAUAUUUUAUUUUUACCAAACACUUUUUACUGCUUAACUAUAAAUGAAACAAAUUUCGAUAAAAAAAAAACAACACCAAACGAAGCAUAAAACCUAUUAACAAGAAGUGGAGGAGUCUAAUUUCCUCAUGUCUUAAUUAGCAUCUUAACACUAAUUAGCUCGCAAAUAUUUGACUAAUAUACAUAACAAUAAUCAAUCUAACCGAUAAAGAAGCCAUGAAGCCACUCUUCAAUGUUGACCUUCUCAUCCACGUCAAAUUCUCGAUGUUAACAAUAGGCCUUAGUUCAACAAUGAGCAUAUAUUAUUCCGUUAUACUUUCAAAACCAAUAUGAACUCAAACAUUCGGCUAAAAUACACCUCAUAUUCGAACAAUAUAUUUUGUUAAUUGUGAAAGGUGAUUUGGAAGAUAAUUGUGAUACUUGAUGCCAUGCGCGCUCUCGAUUUCUAACUACUCAUGCCGCCAUUGUCAUUGGGUAUGACCGGUGACAACUUGGUGGAAACGUAGCAAUUCGACACGAUUAUUCUCCAAACAUAUGAUUGUUGAGAGCCUGAAUCCUAUGUAAGGGUGGGCAACGGUUAUGCCAGACGGGUAACCGCGGUUAUUUACUUAUAACUGUUUAUGCUCAUACUCGCAUAACCGUUUACCCAUUUGGUAAUUGCCUAAAUUGUUAUACUCAUACCUAUAACCGUUUAUAAACGGUUAACCAUACCAAUAAUCGCAUACCCAUUUAACCGUAACCGUUUAAUACCCGUUUACUCAUUUUUAACUUGUUUAUCUUUUUCCCAUUUUUAACUUGUUUAUCUUUUUUUUUUACCAUUACCCAUUUUUCACCCAUCUACAUGUUUUUUAACAAAUUGAAAUUUUAAAAAAAAUUUGUCAUAAUUUUUUUUGACAAUUAAACACCGUUAUAGGGGUACAUUCAUUAUACAUUUCCUUAUUUUAAUUUUUUAAGUCCUUAUACCGUUUCAAUAAUUGAAAUAAUAGUUUACAGACGAUAUUUUUAAGGGGUGUGAUAUCCACACACCCCAUUUUACUUCUCACACACCUUUUUAAUUUUCGACCGUCGGAUCAGAUGAAUUGAAGAAGAUCAACGGACAAUAAUUAUUAAAGGUGUGUGAGAAGUAAAAUAUGGUGUGUGGAUAGCACACCCCUAUUUUUAACUGUUACCAAUGAAGGUAAUAUAAUAUUUGCUAAGUAUUCUUGGGUUAUGAAAACUGUUUAGAAGACAGUAUUUUUGAGUUAUUUAACCCAUAGUGCAAAGUAUUAACAUAAUAUAUAUAAUGAGCUACAUUAUUUUAUAAUUAGCUAUAUAAACCAUGCACUAUAGUCAAUAGCAUCAGAGGUGCAAUUUGGGCUGAGCCAACCCGAACCCGCCCAUGUCUAACCUGACUUUAAACUCGAAUAAGCGAAUUUUGUUGUUGUUAUAACCCGCCUGAACCCAACCCGAUUUCAACCCGUUCAUUGAUUGGGUUGGAUUGGGUUGAUCAUUUGUCCAUCCCAACCCAAUCCAAUUAACCAAACCCUAUUAGGUUGAGCUGUGCAACAUACUUCUCAAUAACCUUUGCACCUUUGCACCUUUGCACCUUUGCACCUUUGCACUUUCAUGAGAACCUACUGAUAUGAUAUACAAUUUGACUUGAAAGGAAUCAUAUUAAGUUUAUUUUGCUUUUCACAUCACAUCCUGUAGAACAACUUCCUUUAUUAAAUUAAUAUUGCAACUAUUCGACCUCUCUUUGAGAUCUGCUUCACAGUUUGAGUUGUGAUUGUUUCUUAUGCUGAUUCAGACGAAGUAGGCUAUUGAGCAAGUAAAUUUGAGGGAAAGUGAUUUUAAGGUCAGUUGUUUGCUAAUACAAAUAGGUUGACAUCAUUGUUGAAAAACAUUAAACACUACUUGAAAAAGUUAGGCAACCCAAACUCAACCCAAGUAAAUCCAAACCCGAUUAAACCCGAGCCCGACUAAACCCGAUUAAAACCCAAUCCGAACCCGAACCCGAAUUGUAAAAGUUGGGUUAGGAUUUGGUUGAUUUUCCAACUCGCCCGAGUUGCACCCCUAAAUAGCAUUGAUCUAAGUUUUGUCCUAUAGAGAACAUGGUUUGUGUUAAUUUUACAUAUAUAAAAUAAAUGGGUAAACGGUUACCUGUUUAUAACCGUUAUUUAUACCUAUAACCGUUUAUUUAUCUAAAUAGUUACCUAUAACCAUAACCGUAAAGUUUAAAUAAGUGGGUAACUGCGAUUACAAGGUAUUUUACCCAUAUUCCCAUGUCAGAAAGUAAAGCAUUGCCGUAUAAUUUAAAUUAUCUUAGAUCAGUUGAUUUUAGACCGAAUGUUCACAUUCUAAAAUUUCUAAUAACGUCUGCGUUGGUUGUGAUAUGAGUUCUGCACCUCCGAUAUUGUAAAGCAUUAAAUAAAGGCCCAAUUACAAAUUCAUAAUUUUGGCCCAUGGUUUUUGGGCCCAGAGUAAGGUUGCGUAAUUUCCAGGGUCAAGUUUUAAAUUUGAUGCUUAAAUAGCAAGCCCAACCUUUUGCAAUCUCUUACAUGGGCAUUUUCCAGUCUUUACUUUUCAUUUUCAUUUUUACUUUGGAAUUCUAAUCCUGUAUAACAGUACAUGUGGAAAAUCUAUAUCUUUUUUUCUUUUUCUGCAUAUUCCUGUUUAGUUUUGUUAUUUGAUUUUCUAAUACUUUAUUUCAUUCAAAGGUUAGAAAUGAGCAAGAUUUGUGUGUGGGAGAAAAAAGUGUGUGCGACAAUCAUUUCUCAUUUCAUUUUUUAUCGAGGAGAUAAGAGAUUCAAACUUAAAAUCUCUUCUAACAUUGAGAAGUAUCACUAUUGUACUAACGACUAGUUGGUAAUCUUGCACAUGUGUUCAAAACCAAAAAAUUUCUAUUUUGUAUAAUGAGAUGCAAAAUUUAGAUUGCAACGAAGUUCUUCUUUUUAUGCAUGUGAGAGUGAAAUUGCAAUAAAUCGAACAACUUCAAUUACAUAUAUAAGAGUUUCUUUUCUUGUUUGUUAGAAAAUUUUGUGCAGAACGGUUUCAUAUUACAUAUGUAUCUUUUUACUUUUUAUCACGUAUCUUGUCAGGUGACUUCGCAAUGAGAGAUAGAAACACGUCAAGAUACAACGAUUGUUCCAAGAAAGUUUUCUAGUGGUAUGAGAAAGUUAACGAAAAGGGUUGGGACUUGGGAGGCGUUACGUCGUUAUCUGUAACGGUCUUAACAUGGAGCCAAGAUGGGAUGGUAGGGUUUUCGUGUGCAUGAAGGAUGCAGAUGACCUGAUCUGCCUUUCCCUUUGUGCUUGUGACCUCCUGCAAUUUCCAUAUCGACAAAACUUUUGCCCCUUGAUGGAAAUAUCCAACUUUGUGGGGGCCACCAGUCCAAUCCAUGCAUGGAUCCGGCCCGUUCAAUUUUCAUCGCCAGAAUUCAGUUGAUCACCUUGAUAUCAUGACCUAAUUCAAUCAUCAUUUGGAAGACUUUUUUGUCAAAUAAAACGAAAUAAUUGAUUAAUAUGAUUACAAGAUUAAUUCUUCAUUUUCAACAAUAUUGUAGGAUUUAUUUACUAGAGUGAUAGAAGAUUUGAACUUGAAUCCAGACCGCUUUAAAAACUCGUAAAAAAAUAGUAUCAAUGACCAUUUCCUCCUGUUUUGGAGGCAAAUUUGGUCCACUGUUUUUGUGCAUGAAUAAUGGUUGCCUUUAGUAUUAUUUGCUACUUUUUCUUCAGUAAAACAAUAAUACUGUCACUUUCUAUGAUGCCCAUUUCACACUAGCAUGCCCUGGAAGAACUAAAUAUCUUUUGUCAACAAAAAUCUUCCAUAGGUUGUUCCAAUCCAAGCUAGCCUUGGGUUGUCAUGAUGAUUUUGGUUUUAAUACAAAGUAAAUGGUAUAUAUCAACCGACCAACUGUAUAAGUUACUGUCAGUCGUUAAUAUAUGAACGUUGGUUCAUAUAAAUCUCAUAGGUUCCAUUUGGUGUACGAAAUGAAAGGUUGUGAGUAACAGUUAUAUCCUUAAAGAAAAUAUUGACAAAUUAUGUAAUGUACCCAUCCUGCAGUCCUCAUGUUGGCCAUAACCCUACCCAUGUGCAAAUACAAGUGAACAUAUAUCUCUUUUAAUGUAAUCAAAAUUAAAUUGAAACUUAAAACUUAAAUAAGAUUAGGGUUUUGAAUAUUCUAACGUGCAUGGGUUUGGUGACAUAGCAGGUUUAUUCGGUCCCUCGUACACUAGCAAAAGAGCUUGAAAUUAAUUAAUAUAAUUUUAAUUAAAUUAAAUAAUAAUGAUUAAGCUGAGUAAGAAGGAAGAAAGAUCUCCUAAUUAAUCAUCUCCCAAUUGGAUGCAUGACAGUAGCAUUUGGCCCACGUUCCGGAGUAGGCUCCAUCCUCCAUAACAUGCACAUGAGCUGCCAACCAUUUGGUCUCUCUGGGACCGCAUCAUAUUCAUCUGCAGUUAUUUGGAUUCUCAUACGAUCGACACAGAGAGAGAGAGAGAGAGAGAGAGAGAGAGAGAGAGAGAGAGAGGUUUGCAUUGUGAUGAGUGUGAACCCAUGAGACGUUGCAUAGUAUUAUCUUCUGCUACUAUCCCUCCCCAUUGGUUCUGCAAACCCAACACCAACCAAGAUAAGCGUUAGGCUAGUCGGUCGCCUUACCGCUUCUGGUGACGGUAUACUGUUGAUGUAUGUAUAAAUAAUGAACGACUGAGUUUAGUAUUCAUCUAUCUCUUUUGAAAUACCAAACGUACAAUAUGUGACAUUUGUGUAACAAAAGCCGUCUCCUUAUUCUUAUACUUCCAACACCUAGAGUAGUACGUAGCAGUGGUAGUCUUAUCGCACUUACUGACCUUUUUGUUUCAAUUGAUUCUCUCGAUUGAUAAGUGGCCGGUGUUUGGUCCUAAAUAGAAAUUAGGUUAAAUUAUAAACAUAAUCUUUUUCACAAAUGUAUGUUUUACAAUAAGGUAGAAUAAUUAUGUUGACAAAAUUGAAGGUUUCAAUGUACGAUAGAUUAAUUGGAAUGUAGAUGAUUCUCAGUUGUUGAGGCAUUCACUUUAUUUGGUGCGGAUGUAUAAUUGAUGGACAGUCGUUCAUGCACGUGUGUUUGUAUGAAGAUAUGUAAAGCAACCCUCUAGAUAUGAAUAGACAUAAGGUCUUUGUAAGUUGGGCUACUACUAUAUAGCGAAUUAAUUUUAUGUUGAAACCUCAGCUUUAUUCAUGAUAUCAAAGUAGGGUGUUUCAUGUGUGAAGCCCAACGGCUACACGUGCUUCACAUCACUCAUUUUAUUUUGUCCAUGUGCUAAGCUUAAAAAUUCGUCACGUGAUGAGACGUGUUGGAGUAUUAAUCCUACAUCGAAAAGAAGGAAACUUGCAUUGACAAAUAAGAUACGCUAAUACCCAUAUUAUCAAUUAAUUUUAUAAAUUUUAUAGUAAAACCCAAACAUUUUUCAUAAUUUUCUUUGGAGUUAACUAAAGCCAGAAGUUUGUGGUGUUGUUAACUCACUACCUAGGAGUGGACAUUUUAACCGGUAAAUCGGGUCGAGAAAACCAAAAGAAUCGGGUUUGACAUUGUCACAUUCUUGUUGCAUUUUUUCCCAAAUACCGAAUGUAAUGUGCCAUUCUUGUUACGGACAAGGAUUGUCUGCCCUCCUAGUUGUGGUGCCCUUCUAUGCCCUCCUAUUUUGUGCGGUCACGGUUAAGCCACGUCAACAUUUUAUAUUAAUUUUUUAAUGAGAUAAUAAGACAAAAAACAAUAAAAAUAUAAAAUAUUAACGUGGCUUAACCGUGACCGCACAAAAUAGGAGGGCAUGGAAGGGCACCACAACUAGGAGGGCACCUUGUCCUUCUUGUUACAAAAGCCUCUUUAUUCUUAUCCAAUAGAAGUAGUACGUAGUCUUAUCUCACCUAAUGGUCUUUUCUGUCAAUUGAUUCUCUCAGUUUAUAUAUAAGCUUUGUUUGUUUCAAAAUACAAAUUAGCUAAAUCAUAAACGUAAUGUGUUUCUGUUUGGAUCUUACUGUACACCAUUGAUCUGUUUAAUUGAGGCUGUUGAAUUUUAAUAUUUUUCUUAAAUAUUACUAUUGCUGAUUCGAAUUCAAUAGAGAAAACCAGGCAUUAUCCAUUGCUGGUUGUUUGUUGGAGAUCCAUUUGUUGAUAAAGACUUACUCAAGUGAUGGCAAGGAUUUUCCAACUUGGCUUGAGUAAAGAAAAGAUAAAAGAAGGUACCAUCCAUUUGUGAUAUUAUCCCUUUGGCCAAUUUGAUAAUUUAUUCUUUUUGGCCAAUUUGAUAGUAUUUCCUAAUAGAAUGCUCAGUGUUCAUUAAGAUAAAGAUGGCCAUCAAAAGGCCUUUGGUAGCCACGGUAUGGACUUUACAACACGUUCAAGCGUAUUAGUCCUAUAAAUACAUAAAACCGUGUAAUGAGAAGGCAACCUUCAACUUAACAUACAAAUAUGCCUUGCACAAAUCUCGCUCUAGGCGAACACUUCUCACACUCAGAGAACUAACUAACUCACAUUUUGAGAAAUCACUAACUCUCCACUUUCCUAACUACUUAAAGCUCGAUUGAUUAUCUAUCCAAGUCUCAGCUGACGAGGAGUCCUUGAUUCUUUAAUUGAACGAGGUCACUUUACUAGCUUUCCAACCAAAUUAAGUGUUUUAUGCUUGGUUACUUCUGGUACAUUUUAGAGUUCGGUAUUCUGACGGUUGAACAACAUUUACCAUCAAGACAUUUAUCUCUUUCGAGUACGAGUAUCCUUACAGUUUAACUCCGAACUGAUCAGAGCACUUAUAUUUUCACAAAUAUAGUCGAGGCGGCCGAACCUGGUGCAAAAGAUCAUGAACUUCACAGUGACUAACAACCUUUUUGACAUCACCACCACAUUCAUUCUACUAACCGACCGAGUUCGAUGGCAAGUUAGCACGACCGCAUUCAUCAUAAUGACGUAGUUAGCUUUUUGUUAUUCAGUCUACGUGUAAGUAAACUUGAUAGUUUUUAAGGUCAACAAUUUCACAAAUUGUGCUUUACAUUCUAACAAGUUUUACGAUCUCAACUUAUACUAGACGAAGGCGGACGAUCGAUUGUUAGUUGUUGCUGCGAGUUUCAUUGUGAUUGCGGAUGUAUAAUUGACAUACAAUCGUAACGUGUGUUUGUGGGCAAAGCAACUCUCUAGACAUCAAAAGAUAAGGUCUUUAGUUUUAUUCAGAAUUUGAGGUGUCUAUAUAAGUCACAAAAACCAAGAAACCUCUCGAACUCGUACCUUGGAUGCAGUGGAUGGGUUCCUAUCACAUGGUUGUCGCCAAAGGCAACAGAAGAGUACUCGCUAUAAUACUAAAUUAACAUGGUCCACUAGACGGUGGCUUUCCACCCUUUUUGUCGAUCGUGAGAGUAUGAUUUGGCCAAAUGCACUGUUAUUCUCCCAAAGUCGAGGUCAAUUUAGUAAACUAAUAUAUAGAAGUUUUUAAAAGUCACUAGUCUAGUAGCGGGUAGAGGCCUGUCGCUUAGGGGGGCCUAGGUAAUUUUUUAUUUUUAAUUAAUUUUUUAUAUAAUAUAUAGAUAAAUAUCUACUUAUAUUUUUUUUAAAAUAUAACUGUAUUGAGAUACAUUAAUUAGAAAAUGGAACUAUAUAUAAAUUAUAAAGUAUUAGAAUUGAAAACAUGGGGAAUAAACAUAUAAUGAGUGUUCAUCUCAAUAUUUAACAAGUUUUUUACAAUUUAUUGAAAAAAUAAAAUGUAAAAUGAAAGUUAUCUAUUUUCUAUCUAAAUGAGAGUUACGAUCUAGACGAGCGCCUACGCAGAUCUAGACGCUCUUUCUUAGUUUUCAAACGUCUAGUGAUCAAUCAAAGCGAUGACUACCUGCUUAGCGCCUAGGCAGGCUUAAGCGAAGCUAGGCGGUAAUUUUUAAAAGAAUGUGAUAUAUAGUUAGUAAUGAUAGCUACAAGGAAGAAAGAAACAACCCCACUGUACGAAACCAAAAACACUAAGCUACGAUGUGUUCUUAUCAUCUUAAGUUGUCCUACGAAUAAGUUAUGAAACCUAAUAUUAUGUUGUUGACCUAACCAAGUAGCUAGUAGCUAGUAUCGUUCACAUCAUCACUCCUAAAGUAACUUGAGGUAAAUUAGUUGCAAGAUAGCUAGAAUACAGAUCCGUCAAGGGACAUUUUUGUAAGACACAUUUUUAUUGAAAGCGCUACAAAUUUUUAUCGAAAAUUCAAGUACAUCUUGUUGGAGCAUAACGUGGUAUUGUUUGCAUACAUCAUGUAAAACUUUUACAUGUUAGGAUUUAACAAAGCAAGUAUUUUACGUUUUCAUCUCUCACACUUCAUUGUGAUCGAAACUCAAAAGAAAGAUGAUAAUAAGGUCAACUAGUACCCUAAUGAAUAUGAUUUUUAAUUUUCCGUGUAUUGCAUUACGGUUAAAAUGCAAGAUUUUUCCAAUAUUAAACUAUCAUAAGUAGUGUGUGAUGUCAGAGAUAUUACGAGACGAAGAACUUGCUGGUUCUAGUAUGAAAAUUGUUUUUGAAAUUUUGAUUUAAAAUGAUUCAGUCUUCAUAGGUGUCGGCGGGUUGGAUUGGUUUUUAGCUUAAAAGACCAUUUCUGUCCAUUAAUGUUGGUAGUCAGUUGAAUCAAUUAUUUUUUCUACGUGUUUAAUCUUAAACAAAAUUAAAAAAACGGUUUGUUUGGGGAAGGCUGUUAUUUAUUUUUAUUAAUUUUGAAAAAGUCGCGGUAAAAUCCCGGACAACUGUCAGCAGCUGGAGUCACUGUCAGUCGCGCUUGCACGCCGCCGUAGCUUAUUAAACUCCGGUCACUCACUUCCGCUCGUCUUCCGCCGGAAACGCCCUUUUUUUUUUGCUCGAUCAAUAAAAAUUAAAGUUAAAAAAAAAAGAAAAGAAGAAGAACGUUUCUGAAUUACCAAUCAGCUCUUCAACUUCCAUUGGCCACAGCAGUACAGAGCACUGUGUCUCUCUACUUUCUCUCUCUACACACUCUCUCGUAUACUUUCUCUCUCUAUACAGAGAGAAACACAGCACGAGAGCUCUCUGUUGGUAUUUUUUACGGACGUACACGCGGUUGUGUAGGCGUAGAUUCCUUUGCCCCCACUGCGUCAUAUAAUUUUAUCAAUAAAUAAAUGCCAAAAAGCUCUCUCUCUCCCCGCUGAAACCGCAUUUAUACACAGAGAGAGGGCCUAUUCCUAACGUUUUCCUCAUUUUUAUGUGCUGCUUUGGUUUGCCUAUAUUCACUCCUCCUCCGGGGAUCUCAGCCGUCCUCCGCCGCUCUUGCGAGAAUUCACCGGCUCAGCUGUCACCGGCAAGUUUCUCUCUUUGCUUUGGUAUUUAUUUCUGCUGAAAUUUUAAGCUGUUUUUUGUUUGUAAAGUUGGAAACUUUGCUGUGAUGGAAUUGAUGGGUUUUGAGUAUGUUGAUUUUGUGCGGAUUUUGAGGGCAUAAGUGGGUAAUUUGUGGAUUUUGGGCAGAUGGGCAGAUGGGCAGCUGUUGUUUUAGCCCAGUGCAUACGUGGUCUACAGUGUACUGCUUUUGGAUUUCUGGGGAACCUAUAGAGAAUAAUUGCCAGAAAGAUAUGGUCUUGUAGUGUAAACUUAUUGAUUUCUGGGUGAAAUCGAAGGUUUCAUAUCUGGGUUUGUUUUAAUUCGUUGAAUUGGGGAUUUAUAUCUCGUGGAAUUGGACUAUUGGCGUUAUAAAAUUCUGGAGUUUUUGUGGAAUUUGGAUUUAUGGAGGCUUUUGGAGGCAGAGCUCGGAAUUUCUAUGGUACGAUGGUGCCGGAUUUGAAGGGGGCUGGGAAAAAGAGUUUGGAAUGGGAUUUGAAUGAUUGGAAAUGGGAUGGUGAUCUUUUUACCGCUAGUCCUUUGAAUGCUGUACCAUCUGAUUGUAGGAGCAGGCAGUUGUUUCCGCUUGGGCUGCCGGAAACUCCCUCCACUGCUGGUUUGUCCAACAGUUCUUCUUCUGGUUCGGACGGUAUCUGUCCAGGGAAUGAGAAAGGUAAAAGAGAGCUGGAGAAAAGAAGAAGGGCUAGUUUUGUAGAAAAUGAAGGGCUAACUGAUGAAGUUGGGUCUCUUAAUCUCAAGCUUGGCGGGCAAGCUUACCCAAUCAUGGAAGGAGAGGUACAACAUGGGAAGAAGACGAAGAUAGUUGGGACUACUUUAAACCGAGCAGUUUGUCAGGUGGAGGACUGUAAGGCUGAUCUUAGCAAUGCCAAGGAUUACCACCGACGACAUAAGGUCUGUGAUAUGCAUUCUAAGGCAACUAAAGCGGUGGUGGGAAAUGUUUUGCAGCGGUUCUGUCAGCAGUGUAGCAGGUUAGUUCAAUUCUAUGGUUGUCCUUGUAUGGUGAGAAAUAUUUCAAAUUUUCUUCAGUUAAGUUCUACGUCGUUUAUUCGGUGCUUUCUUAUAGACAUUGUUUCUAGAAGAUGAAAUACAGAGUUUGAUUUGUAAGUUUUAAAAAAAUUAUUUGUUGCUCUCAUGAUUUGGGUCCAUAGUUGUUCAUCACUGUGUUUGGUAUAGUCGAAUUUUGAAGAACUUUUUUGUUGAAUUUGGAAUGUGGUUAUACUUAUGGGCAGGUUUCAUGGCCUUCAAGAGUUUGAUGAAGGAAAGAGAAGUUGUCGUAGACGUUUGGCAGGCCACAAUAGGAGGAGAAGAAAAACACAUCCUGAUACUGUAGUUAAUGGAGGCUCAUUGAAUGAUGAAAGAGGAAGCAGUUAUCUAUUGAUUAGUUUGCUGAGAAUACUCUCCAACAUGCACUGUAAAUCUUUGUGUUAUUGCACAUUCAAUUUUUGGCUGCUUUGCCUGACAUUAAAUUGAUAUGCUAAGUGUAUGUUAAGUGGUUACCGGAUUGUGUGUUGAUUGCCAUAGACUGAUGUCAAAGUUCUUGUGGUCUUUUGCUCUUAGGUUUUGUCAUUAUUUGAUUGAGGCUUGUAGCAAAAUGAUUAUGUCAAUUAACAUUUAAUAACUCCACUCAUAAAUUUUUAUUUGUAAACAUACAACAUAUUACUUGAUGAGUCCUUAACUGCUUAAGGUGCUCUAUUUUUGUGUAUAAAUGACAAAGUGCUAGUUUCUCUGAAUUUAAUUUGAUGAAAAUUUGAAUAUUGAUGCUUACGCAUGAAAAGUUUUCAGUUUUUCAGAGGUUGAUUUGAUAGAAAGUUAGAAUUUUGUGCAGACCUUCAUGUCGAAAAAUAUUUCAAUUUUUAUAAUCCAGAUUACACCUUGUGUGCUUGAAUUUCAUCCCUUGAACCCUUGUUUUUUGCACUUUCUUUCUCUGAUUGUUGGACUGUCCAUAUUUCACAUUCUAGGAUGCAUGAAGGAAGGGCCUAUUAAAGGGAAUUCUAAUUAGGAAUUGUUAUUUAGGAAAUUAUGUCUCAGUGAUCAUGUUAUUAUAAUAUUUAUUUGAUUAUGUUUGUGUUUGUUUUUCUUCUCAUAAGUGUCUUACUCAACUCCACUUUUGAUGCCUAAAAUGCAGCUAAUAGUUCAGAUCAAACAAAGGAUCAGGAUUUGCUAUCUCAUCUUUUGAAGAAUCUAGCCAAUCUUUCUGGUACAGUUGAUGGAAGAAACAUGUCUGCAUUGCUUACGGCAUCUCAAGGUUUAAUAAAUGGCGGGGCAUCAAUUCAGACUGCACAAAAGGUCCCAGAUACAGUUUCCAACGGCUGUGAACCAAGUAAGCCUUCUGUUUCAGCCUCUAAAAUGGAUGAUUAUAUUAAUGGUGAGGACCCUUCAAGACCUAUACGACAGUGUUCUACGGUACCUGCAUCAGAUUUCAGGAGAAUAUCUUCAGUUGAUGCAGAUCAUGGAGGUCUACAAGUUGUUUCAGGUCUAAAUGCCACGAAGCCAUUUCCUUCAAGAGACAGUGUUCCAUCCACAUCAGUUGCACCAGAAGCUACAAUGGGGAGGAUGCAGUUAAAUGGCAUUGAUUUAAAUAAUACAUAUGACGAUUCCCAGGACUAUUUGGACAACCUAGGGAAUUCGCAUGCCCCUGUAAAUUCAGGGACAGUGGCUCAUGGUUUUCCCUUUUGGAUGCGUCAGGAUUCGCAAAAGUCUAGCCCACCUCAGACAAGUGGGACUUCAUGCUCAACUUCAUCAAGUUCUAGUGGAGAUGCUCAGGUAUAUUCUUGUUGUACUUGCAUCUCGUUCCUCGUUAUUGCUUGGUAUAUUAAUGCUUGUAUAUGCCAUAACCUGUCCUUUUCUGUUGGAUAAAAGAAUAGCUUUGUUCUCACUUUAAUUUGGCAUUUAGGUGACAAUGCUUUGCAUUCGACUUGUCCGUUUGUCUAGCCAAUUGAUUGAAAAAACAUGAAGUACUCGGCAUACCUAAUAAAUACUUCUGUUGUGACGUAAGAGUCAAGAUGGAUUCUCUUCUUUUGUAUAGUGCUUUGUAUGUAUAAAUGUGUGCGUAUGCUUCUGCUUGAUAAGGUUUAUAGAGUUGUAGUUAAACUACAGGAGGUUGCAGGCUAUAUCAGUUAGAGUUGAGUAUUUUUUAAAUAUUUUUUAUUAUGAAGGCCAGUGUGUAAAAUGUUACUGCACUGUUACGUCUCUUAACCACUCUUUUUCUGCCGUGUUUCAGAGUCGCACAGACCGUAUUGUUUUUAAACUCUUUGGAAAAGAUCCAAAUGAUCUUCCAUUUGUUCUACGAGCACAGGUAAUAUUUGGUGCCUUGAUUUAAUUCUUCACAAUGUAACUUGUGUUUCCUUGCACAUACAACAAUUUUAUGAAAUAUUUUGAAUAUCCAGAUUCUCAACUGGUUGUCCCACAGUCCUACUGACAUUGAAAGCUACAUAAGGCCGGGAUGUAUCAUUUUGACAGUUUACCUCCGUCUAGAAAAAUCCACGUGGGAGGAGGUAUGUUUCUGUGCUGAUGCCAAAAUGUUGAUUGCUGACCUUGUAUCAGGGAGAUCUCUUUUCUUGUCCUUAAUUGUUAUGUUUGCCUGCAGCUCUGCUGUAAUCUGGGAUCCAUUAUAAAACAACUUUUACAUGCUGCCAAUGAUCCUUUUUGGACAACAGGAUGGGUGUAUACUAGGGUGCAACAUUCUGUAGCAUUUACGUACAAUGGUUUGUUCUCUCUCUCUCUCUCUCUCUCUCUCUCUCUCUCUCUCUCUCUCUCUCUCUCUCUCUCUUAAUUAUUCAUUCAUAUAUUUUCUAGCUCAUUUAGUGAUUUACCAAUAGUUGUGUUAUGAAAGAAAAGACAUUUUAAAUAGUUAUGUCUGUACUGCAGGUCAAGUUGUCUUAGACACACCCUUACCUCUGAAAAGCCAUAAAAAUUGCAAGAUAUCAUGCAUCAAACCAAUUGCAGUUUCUUUAUCCGAAAGAGCUGAAUUUGUAGUAAAGGGGUUUAAUCUUUCUCGUGCCACCACAAGGUAUCCUUAUCUUUCAUUCAAGCUUCAUUAUGUAGACCACUCCAGUGUCAUAUGUUAUUUCUGAAUUAGUAACUAUCAGGAUAACUGGGAAGGAGGAAAGUACUAAGUCCUAGCUUGUGACAGGUUGCUCUGUGCUCUGGAAGGGAAGUAUCUAGUCCAAGAAACUUGUUAUGACUUGAUGGAUGGUGCUGAUACAACCUUUGCGAAUGAUCAGCUACAGUGCCUCAGAUUCUCCUGCUCUAUACCCAAUGUUACUGGCCGAGGACUCAUUGAGGUGCUGUUCCAUUCUUAAUAUAUGUUUUAUAUUUCCUUUGAAGUGUGCUUAUCAUUACUUAUUUAUUUAUUUUUAUUUCAGGUUGAAGACCAUGGUCUCAGCGGCUGCUUCUUUCCAUUUAUAGUUGCCGAGCAGGAAGUAUGUUCAGAGAUUUGUACCCUGGAGGGUGCGAUUGAGGUGGCUGAGACUGCAGAUAACAUCCAGACAGAACCUGAAAAGUUGGAAGCCAAGAACCAAGCGUUGGACUUUGUACAUGAAUUGGGUUGGCUCCUUCACAGAUGUCACACUAAAUUUAGACUUGGUCACGGGGAUCCCAACUUAGAACUAUUUUCUUUUAGACGGUUCAGGUUGCUUAUGGAGUUUUCCAUGGACCGUGAUUGGUGUGCUGUAGUGAAGAAACUCCUGGGCAUUCUGCUUGAGGGUACCGUUGACACUGGAGAACAUCCUUCUAUUGAGCUUGCGUUAUUGGAUAUGAGCCUCCUCCACGGAGCCGUGCAAAGAAAGUGCAGGCCUAUGGUGGAACUCUUGUUAAGAUUUGUCCUAGACAAAGGGUGGCAACAAGUUGACGGGGACGGCAGCAACUUCUUAUUUAAACCCGAUGCAGUUGGGCCCAUGGGAUUGACUCCUCUUCAUGUUGCAGCCAGUACUGAUGGAUGUGAGAAUAUAUUGGAUGCCUUAACUGAUGAUCCUGGAAAGGUAAUUUCUCAUUGUCUUCUUUGACAGUUUUCUUUCUAAUUGGAUGUAAAAAUCAGAACAGGUCUGCAUCAUUAUCCAUUUUUCUCCGUACGUGUUUGACCGUUUGCUCAUACAAAUGACUCAUGUCAGCUCAUUCUGUGUCUCACAUGAAUGUUGAUAUUUCAAAUCGUUGUAUUUUCAAGCAUACAAAUGUUGAUAUCUUUGCUUCUUUAGGUGGGAAUUGAAGCGUGGAAAAAUGCUCGAGACAGUACAGGAUUGACACCAAAUGAUUAUGCAUGCCUGCGAGGCCGCUACACCUAUGUCCAAAUUGUCCAGCGGAAAAUCAACAAGAAACAUGAAAGCGGGCACGUGGUGCUUGAUAUCCCUGGCGUUAUCUUAGACAGCAGCAGCAAGCAGAAACAAUUAGAUGGGCAUAAGUCCUCAAAAGUCUCCAUCUUGGAGACCGAAAGGAUCGAUAUGAAAGCAAUGCAGGCACAUUGCAAGCAAUGUGAAAUGAAACUAGCAUAUGGAAACACAAGGUCGUUUGUGUACAGGCCGGCAAUGCUGUCAAUGGUAGCCAUUGCUGCUGUCUGUGUUUGCGUGGCCUUGCUCUUCAAAAGCUCGCCUGAAGUCCUUUAUGUCUUCCAGCCCUUCAGGUGGGAACUCUUGGAGUAUGGACCGAGCUAAGGCAGUUUACGCGUCUCAAAUUUUAGUUACUCUGGCUUUAGGCCGUUUGUGUUAAUCAUAUGUAUAAACGGAUAACUCAAAUUUUAGUUACUCUGGCUUUAGGCUGUUUCUGUUGAUCAUAUGUAUAAACCGAUAACUCUAUAGGGAACAUAAUGUACCAGUUUUCGUAUCCGUUAAGAUUUCCACGAGAGGUGUUGCACUGUAUGUAUUAAUGAUAGUUCAUAUAAAGCGUGUAUAGGGAAAGAUUGACGUAAAUAGUACUAUUGACCAAUUGUUGAGGCAAUAGAUUGCUGCAUUACUUCCAAAAACACAUACAAACAUUGUAUUCGAUGAGGCGGAAGAUUCGGACUUGAAAAUUCUUUCGCUUUUAAGUCAGCUUUCUUAAACAGAAGACAAUAUUUAGUAGGGCGGCCUGACUAAUAAUUUCUUUCGCUUUUAAGUCAGCUUUCUUAAACAGAAGACAAUAUUUAGUAGGGCAGCCUGACUAAUAAGUAGGUUAGACUACUCUUGCUAAAUUUUAUGCAUUGAGAGUUGUAUUUACGUAAGACUGGAUGGUGACCAAAUACAUAGAAUCACGUUCCUUCAUGAGGGGAUAAGGCUGUCUCACAAAGGUUGGAGCUUUGUGCUUACUUAGAUACAUGAAUCUCGUUCUUUCGUGAGUCAACUUUUCAGGUUAUUCAACUCAAAUGUUAUGAAUAAAAUUGGGCCAAAAUUAGAUCAAACAGUUGUUUUUCUCCAAAUAUUUUUAAUUUGGUCAAAUGCAUGAAUCUCGUUCUUUAGUGAGAUAACUUUUCAUGUUAUUCAACUCAAACGUUAUGAAUAAAAUUGGACCAAAAUUAGAUCAAACAGUUGUUUUUCUCUAAAUAUUUUUAAUUUGGUCAAAUCCAAUCCGAGUCUAAUAUUAACUAGCAAAAAAAAAAGCAGAAAAAUGGAUUUUACAGGCUAAUAAAAUAAUAGGAAAAGGACUCCAGUCACAGAGACACGUUGACUCAUAUUUUGACAUGAAAUUGUUUUCCACUUCAACAAGUCAUAUUCAUGGUCCUUACAUAGUGUACACAAUUAUUACCUUGUUUAAUCUUUUUCAAUUAUUUUGUCGUUUUGAACCUUUUUUCUUUGGUUUAAUUGCCAAUAAUUCAAGCAUUAAAUCUUGAUCUCGAAAUGGAACAAUUUUCCGGUGUACUAAGAUCACGUUCACGUAAAAUUACUGGUUCAUUUAAAUUAUAUUACGUAGAUUUGUUAAUAUUAAGUUUAGGUUAAAUCUCACAAUAAUUAGUAAUAAUAUGACGAGAAUUAAACUUGAAAUAUAUCACUUAUAAUAAAAUAAAAUAUCAUUAGUUUAAAUAUUAAAAUGAUACACCUCGUAACUUGUAACGCUGUUAAUUUCUAAUCGAAAUCAAAAGGAGACGCGUCAUUUGAGGCCACCACCUCUCUCCUCUCACUCUCCCCACUGAAACCGAAUUUACACAGUAAGAGAACCCUUUUCCUAACCUUUUCCUAAUUUUCAUGUGCUGAUUAGCUUUGUCUCGGGGCCUAUAUUCUCUCUGCCUCAACUGCGAUCUCAGCCACUUCUUCGUCAGCUCUCAGUUCUCAGCUCAUCUCCCAACAAUUCACCAACCUGCCGGCAAGUUUCUCUCUCUUUACUCUCUCGCUCUCCUCUUUAUUUCCACAAAAAAAGAUUGGGUCUUUCAGUUCUUUCAGCUCAAGUUUCUUUCCAUGGAGUUGAAAGCAUUGACUAGGAUGUAAUUGUGGGCUUGCAAAUACGGUAUUUUGUACUGACUUGUUGAGAGAAAAACUGGGUAAUUGGUGGAUUUUGGGUUCUGGGCAGCUGUAGCCUGUAGUUUAGCUCCAUUUUUAUGCUGGUGUGCUGUUCUUGGUUUUCUGGGGUUCUUGGAAAGAACAAUUUCCAGAAAUUUCUGGGGCUGUGGUGUUAUUGACUUUUUGUUUUGGGGUGAAAUUUAUAGUUUUAUCUCUGAGCUGUAGUUGUUGUUAUUGUUCAAUUGGGUGUUUGUAUCUGGUGGAGUUUGACUAGGGGGCAUUGUAACAUCUCUGGGUUUUUUGUAUCUUGAUCUAUGGAGUCUGAAUUCGGAGGAAAGGCUUGUAAUUUUCGUGGUGUGAUGGUGCCGAAUUUGAAGGGGGUUGGGAAAAAGAGUUUGGAAUGGGAUUUGAAUGAUUUUAAAUGGGAUGGUGAUCUUUUUACUGCUAGUCCAUUAAAUUCUACACCAUCUGAUGGUAGGAGUAGGCAGUUGUUUCCGGCCAGGCCAGAAACUCCGUCGGAUGCUGGUUUGUCCAACAGUUCUUCUUCUGGUUCGGAUAAUAUCAGUCCGGGGAAUGAGAAAGAUCAAAGAGAAUUGGAGAAACGGAGAAGGGAUUUUUUUGUGGAAAACCGAGAGUUGAAUGAUGAAGCUGCGUCUCUGAAUCUUAAACUUGGCGGGCAAACUUACCCCAUUAUGGAAGAAGAAGUACAAACCGGGAAGAAAACAAAGACAAUUGGGACUACUUCAAACCGUGCAGUUUGUCAGGUGGAGGACUGUAAGGCUGAUCUUAGCAAUGCCAAGGAUUAUCACCGGAGGCAUAAGGUCUGUGCUAUGCAUUCUAAGGCAACUAAAGCGCUGGUUGGAAGUGUUAUGCAGCGGUUCUGUCAACAGUGUAGCAGGUUGGUUCCAUCCUAUUGUUAUUUAUUGUUUGGUUGAAACAUUUCCCCGAUUUUCUUGAAUUAACUUGAAAUACAGAGUUUGGUUGUGUAAAUUUUGUUGUCAUGCGUUUGUUGUGCAUGGCUGUUCAUCAAUCUUCUUACGGUAUGGUUGAGUUCUGCAGAAGGUUUUUUUUGUUGAAUUAAAUGUAACAGGGUUAACACUCGUGGACAGGUUUCAUGCUCUUCAAGAGUUUGAUGAAGGGAAGAGAAGUUGCCGUAGGCGUUUGGCUGGCCAUAAUAGGAGGAGAAGAAAAACACAUCCUGAUACUGCAGUUAAUGGAGGCUCUUUAAACAAUGAAGGCGGAAGCGGUUAUCUAUUGAUUAGCUUGCUGAGAAUACUUUCAAAUAUGCACUGUAAGUACUUGCCUUAUUCAUUGUACACUUCUGUCUUAGUGAAACAUUGUAUCUCAGAUUUAUUUGAAUCCGCAUAUUAUGCCAUUUAUAAAUUGCAGCUAGUAGUUCUGAUCAAACAAAGGAUCAGGAUGUCAUAUCUCAUUUGUUGAGGAGCUUAGCCAAUGUUGCUGGUACGGCUGAUGGAAGAAACAUAUCUACAUUGCUGCAGGGAUCUCAAGGUUUAUUUAACAGUGGGACAUCUGUCCAGACUGCACGAAGGGUUCUAGAUAUGAAUGCUGGUGUUAAUACUGAGGACCCUUUAAGGUCUAAAGGACACUGUUCGAUACUACCUGCAUCAAGAGACAGUUCUGAAUCCAAAUCAGUUACACCGGAAGCUACAAGUAGAAGGUUCCAGUUAAAUGAUUGAUUUAAAUAGUACAUAUGAUGAUUCACAGGACUAUGUAGAGAACCUAGGGAAUUCUCAUGUUCCUGCAAGUCCAGGCACUGCAUCUCUUGGUUUUCCUUCAUGGAUGCAGCGUGAUUCUCAUAAAUCAAGCCCACCUCAGACAAGUGGGAAUUCAGACUUAACUUCUACUCAGUCACCGUCAAGUUCUAGUGGAGAAGCUCAGGUAUAUCCUUGUAAUUGCAUCUAUUCCAUAAUUGCUUGGUAAUAUAAUGCUUAAAAAUGCCUUUGUCGUGGAUGAUGCUCAGCCCACUGUAAUUCGUCUUUUUUUUAAUCUUUUUUUCCAUGAGACCAGGGAUUAAUAUAUCAAUUGUCAUUAAUCAUUAUACGGCGUAUAACUUGUCUUUUGUUUGGAUAGUAGAAUACCUUUGUUCUAUCCUUGAGAGUAGUUAGGCAGUCAUGUAUUGUGUUCUGAACGUGUCUGUGUAUCUUUCCAUGGAUUGUCAAAAUAAUGGCGAGGUUAAGUGCGCUCGCUGCUUGGUUAUGGGAUAUAUGUAAGAAAUGCUUCAAUUGUGACUUAAAGUUGAGAUCAGUUAUCUCUUCCUUCAAACCAAUAUGGCAGUUUACAAGCGCAACCACACACACAAACAUACUUGUUGUGUAUACGUCUUCUUGAUGCUGUUAAUAGAAUUGAGGUUAAAGUUACCUGGUGGUUUCUGCAGUCCUAAUGGAACAUGCAUUAUUUAUGUAAAAGGCCAGUAUGUAGAAUGUAUCUGCAAUUUUACGUUUCUUGACUGCUCUUUUUCUGCCACAUAUCAGAGUCACACAGACCGAAUUAUUUUUAAACUAUUUGGAAAAGACCCUAAUGAACUUCCACUUGCUCUGCGAUCACAGGUACUAUAUUUCCUUUGAUUUUUCUAGUUUUCAAAGUACUUUUCAAAGUAUUUUGGUGUUUCAUUCCACGGACUCCAUGAUUUUUAUAAAUUAUUUGAAUAUCCAGAUCCUCGACUGGUUAUCUCACAGCCCUACCAACAUUGAAAGCUACAUAAGGCCGGGCUGUAUCAUUUUGACAAUUUACCUUCGUCUAGAAAAAUCCACGUGGGAGGAGGUAUUCUCGACUGUGGAUGGCAGAUCCUUGUAUGAGGAAGACUUUUUCUUCAAGUCCUUAAUUUUGACAAUUCACCUCUCCCAGACCCUGAUUAAAGCGGGAGCCUUGUGCACUGGGUACGACCUUUUUUUUUAUAAUUAUUUUUGCUUACAGUUCUGUUGUCAUCUGGGAUCCAGUUUGAAAACACUUCUUGAUGCUGCGGAUGAUCCUUUUUGGAGAACAGGAUGGGUGUAUACAAGGGUGCAAGAUUAUGUAGCAUUUACAUACAAUGGUUUGCCUCUCUCUCUCUCUCUCUCUCUCUCUCUCUCUCUCUCCCCCUCUCAUUUCGUGUGUGCGUACACAUUUGUGUAUUUAGGGUCUAUAGAAGAAUCUUGCUGUUUUAGUUUUCCAUUAUGCUUUAUUGAUUUUGGUCAUGCUUUGUUUUGUUAUUUCUAGUACAUAAUGAGGAUUGACCAAAAACAUUAACCUUAUAUGAGAGAAGCAUUUUGAUUAGUUAUGUCCAUCCUGCAGGUGAAGUUGUGUUAGACACACCCUUGCCUCUUAAAAGCAAUAAAAGUUGCAGGAUAUCAUGCAUCAAACCAAUUGCGAUCUCCUUAUCUGAGAGAGCUGAAUUUAUAGUAAAAGGCUUUAACCUUUCUAGUUCCACCACAAGGUUCUUUCAUCUUUCAUUCAUGCGUCAUUACUUUGUUUUCAAUAUUCCUCUCUAGUUUUAUAGGAUAACAGAAGAAAUACUAAAUUCUAGAUCUUGAGUCUUGACAGGUUACUCUGUGCUCUAGAAGGGAAGUAUCUGGCUCAAGAAACUUGUUAUGACUUGUUGGAUGAUGCGGAUAGCACUGUUGAGGAUGACGAACAACAAUGCCUUAAAUUCUCCUGCUCUAUACCAAAUGUUACUGGGCGAGGAUUCAUUGAGGUGCUGUCAUAUUCCUAAUUGUCCCUUUCCCCCUUCCUCCUCUUGUAAUGUGCAUUUUGAACGAGCCGUAUUUUAUAAGUCCGGAAUUUGUUUAUAAAUCUUCUUAUGAAUACUGAGUAUAGAUUUGUUUCUAGACAGCGCCUUAACUGAAAUCCACGGUUCUCAUUUUAUUGGUCAAAUUUAUGUCAGGUUGAAGAUCAUGGUCUCAGCAGUAGCUUCUUUCCAUUUAUAGUUGCAGAGCAGGAAGUAUGCUCUGAGAUUUGUAUGCUGGAAGAUGUGAUUGAGGUGUCCGAGACUGAUGAUGAUAUCCAAUCUGGACCUGAAAAAGUGGAAGCUAAGAACCAAGCCUUGGACUUUAUACAUGAAUUGGGUUGGCUCCUACAUAGAAGUCGCGUUAAGUUUAGACUGGGUCAAUUGGAUCCCAAUCUAGAUACAUUUCCCUUUAGACGGUUCAGAUUGCUCAUGGAGUUCUCCAUUGACCAUGAUUGGUGUGCUGUGGUGAAGAAACUCUUGGGCAUUCUGUUUGAUGGUACUGUCGACGCUGCAGAGCAUCCUUCCCUUGAGUCUGCACUACUGGAUAUGGGCCUCCUCCACAGAGCUGUGCGAAUCAAUAGCAGACGUAUGGUGGAAUUCUUGUUAAGAUUUGUCCCAGGUUUAACAGGAUCUGAGCAGAAGGAACAAGUUGACAGGGACGGCAACAGUUUCUUGUUUAAACCUGAUGUUGUUGGGCCCAUGGGGUUGACUCCUCUUCAUAUUGCCGCCAGUACUGAUGGCUGUGAGCAAGUAUUGGAUGCCUUAACUGAUGAUCCUGGAAAGGUAAUAUCUCCGUUUUUUGAAUUGCAACAUAAUAUUUUUCUUCUAAUUCUAUGUAGAAAUCACUUUGCGCUGGCUACAACCUCCAUCCCAUCUCCAUACCCAUUUGAACUCUUGCGCCUACAGUUGACCUGUGUCUGUUCUCAUACUGUUUCACACACGUGUUUUGAUGAUUUUAACUCAUUCUAAUUUCCAGCAUGUCAGGUUGCUCACGGAUUUUAGAUCUGUAAUCAUGUCUUCUUUGACUUUGAGCUCUCUCUUUAGCUUUUCCACUGUCUUCUGCCUAAACAAAAUACACUGAUUCCAGUUAUUGAGUUGUAUUUCAAAUUCUCAAUUAACCAAUCCUAGACAAAUUAUGCAGUCUUGUAUUUUCUUUGGCUUGCGAAACAUAUGAAACAUAAAUCACCGUAGAAAAGUUAAAUGCGCCAUUCAAAUUGGUAAAGAAAGCAGCACCCCACAUCUAAAUGCAUGCUAACUCUUUCACAGCUGAAAGCGGCACCCAAAUUCUACAUUCAACUUGAAAUCAAAUAGGACUGCUGUUAAAAUUUUUGACGAUAAAUGAAUUAUGAUUCUUUUCAUCGUUCUAGUUUCAACUUUCAAGCAUGUGUUUAGGACUGCUGUCAUGAAAUUUCUUUAGUGUCAGAUAAUCCAUUCAUCAAGUUGAUAUGGGCGUUUUUUUCUUUAGGUGGGAAUUAAAGCAUGGAAAAACACUCGAGACAGCACAGGAUUGACACCAUAUGAUUAUGCAUGCCUUCGAAGCCGCUACUCCUAUGUCCAUAUAGUCCAGCGGAAAAUCAGCAAUACACUGGAAAGCGGGCAUGUGGUGCUUGACAUCCCUGGCCUCACGUUAGACAGAAAUGGAAAGCAGAAGCAAUCGGAUGCGCAUAAAUCAUCAAGAGUAGCCAGCUUGGAAACUGAAAGGAAUGAUAUAAAAGCAAUCUUACGACACUGCAGGUUAUGUGAACAGAAACCAGCUUAUAGCACCACACGGUCACUUGUAUACAGGCCGGCAAUGCUGUCAUUGGUGGCUGUCGCUGCUGUCUGCGUUUGCGUGGCCUUGCUCUUUAAAAGCAAUCCGGAAGUUGUUUUCGUGUUGGAGCCAUUCCGGUGGGAACACUUGAAGUUUGGUUCAAGCUAAGGUUAUAGUUUACGUGUAUUAAUUUAUAGUGACUCUGGUUAUACAUAGACCAUUUCUUUUCACGUGGAUAGGAGUAUAUUUUCUAUCUGAUUUUUAUAUGUAUAUCUAGGGCCACUCAAGCCAACAAGACUCUUCGCAUUGCAAUGGUCGGAACGUCUAUCGUAUCUGUAUUUGUAUACCUAAGCUUCCAAAAUAAACAUGGGCUGUCAUGGAUUUUGGUCCACCAGGUUUGAUUGUAUUUGUAUUUGUAUAACAGUGUUACAAACUGGAUGACACAUAAUUUCUCUGUUUGAUAUUUCUUUUUUUUUUUUCAAAAUAAACAUUUGGCACGAGGUGAUUCGGUGUUCGAUUAUUAGUGCAUUUACUGUAUAAAUUAAAUUUUAAUUUUAGAAAAUUCAGCAUUUUUGUUGGUUAUAUUGGAGGAAAUCGAACUUUGGUCUACUCUAAUUCUAACUUAUUACCAUACCCUCCUCCAUUAUUUGAGCUCAUAUAAGCAUAAGCACACUAAACAAGGUUAAGUAUAGAAGAAUUUGGGAAUUGAGAAUUAUUGUUUGAGCAUUAUUUCAUGUUUAGUGCAAAUUGAGGUUGAAUUAUUUUCUAAUUUUAUUAGUUUAAUCAUUUGGAUGAAUUUGUUCAUGCUUCCAUAUGAAAUCAUUAUUUUAUUAAAAUAAUUUAUUAAUAGUUCGAGAAAAACUUAAAUGGAGGUGCUCACGUCAUUCAUCACGCAUUCACAUUCACAUUCGUUACACGUUUCUCAUAAAAACAUAAAACUCUUUCAAAUGAAUAGGUUUCACUGAAUUUGGAUAAUAUCCGACUUUACAUAAGUACAAGUAUCAAUGCACAUGAUUCCAACCAGUAAUUAUUAUCUUAUUUGAAUUACUUACCCCGAAUCAGACCUGAAAAAGUGUAAUUUAUUCAAAUUUUAUUUUCUGAAAUUCAAAAAAAUAAAAUAAAAUUUGAGGAUAAGAAAAUAAAGGGUAAAGAGGUCAUUUGCAUGCCCUGCCUCCUAAAAUCCACCUCACUACUCACUACCCCGUCACUGCUCUAACAAUUUUGCAGGCCAAAGCCAUCCAUGGCUUCUUCAAUCUCUCUCUCCUUCUCUUCCUCUCUCCUCCCUCAUCCUCUUCCUUUCAACAAAUACUCCACCGCCACCGCCGCCGCCUCCCAGAAAUCCCAAUACCCCAACUUUAAGCUGCUCCUCCGCGCAUUCGCCAACCCAGCUGUAAGCCGUCGCUCCACUCCAUCUCCGUCUUCCGACACCAGAAAGAGGCACUGGAAGAAAGGUGAAUACCCAGGCGUCUCGGAGACGUCGGCUCCGGCGAAUUACAGAAAAACCCCUGGUCGUUCCACUUCAUCUGAGUCUUCCGACACCAGAAAGAAGCACUGGAAGCGAGGUGAGUUCCCGGGCGUCUCGGAGACGUCGACUCCGGCGAAUCACAGAAAAACCCCUGGUCGUUCCACUUCAUCUGAGUCUUCCGACACCAGAAAGAAGCACUGGAAGCGAGGUGAGUUCCCGGGCGUCUCGGAGACGUCGACUCCGGCGACUUACAGAAAAACCUCCGCUCGUUCCGCUUCAUAUCCGUCUUCCGACAACAGAAAGAAGCACUGGAAGCAAGGGGAGUUCCCGGGGGUCUCGGAGACGUCGAUUCCGGCUAUUUAUAGAAAACCCCCUUUGAAAAAUGUGAAGAAGAAGCUGGACCGGAAGAACAAUGCCAAGGCCUGGGUCAACACCGUCACGGAGGCCCUGUCAGACGCCAUUGACAAGAAGCAGUGGCUCCAAGCUCUUGAGGUUUUUGUCUUAAUCUAAACAAAAAUUAACAAAUUUUUCAUCUUUUUUCUUAUGUGUUUUUAGUUUGGUGAAUGUAAAUUGAUGCAAAAUUUAAAAAAAUGGUAUUUUUAUGCUUACCAAUUUAGUUUCUUGAACCAUGUUCUUGAAAAAUGUGAUCUUUUUAGCUGAAUGAUUUUAGUGGAAUUAUAAUUAAUUGGGUGUUUUUGUUUGGAAAAUGUAUGAUGAAAUUGGGUACUAUUACGUUCAGGUGUUUGACAUGCUUAGGGAACAACCAUUUUAUCAACCGAAAGAAGGGACUUACAUGAAACUCAUUGGUAUGCUUGGAAGGUGCGGCCAACCCAAUCGUGCCCGCCAGCUUUUCGAUACAAUGGUUGAAGAGGGCUGUGAACCAACUCUUGACCUUUACACAGCCUUGCUCGCGGCUUAUUGCCGGAACAAUCUGAUUGACGAGGCAUUUUCUGUUCUUAACCUGAUGAAGACUCUCCCGCAAUGCCAGCCUGACGUUUUUACUUACAGUACCUUGAUAAAGGUUUGCAUUGAUCAUUUGAAGUUUGAUUUAGUUGAGUCCUUGUAUGAGGAAAUGGCUGAGCGGUUGAUAGCUCCGAAUACAGUCACCCAAAACAUAGUGUUGAGUGGAUAUGGUAAGGCCGGGAAGUAUGACCAGAUGGAAAAAGUGUUGUCCGGGAUGCUGGAGGGUACAAGUUGCAAGCCUGAUGUCUGGACAAUGAAUGUUGUCCUUAGUGUGUUUGGAAACAAGGGUCAGAUAGAUAUGAUGGAGAGAUGGUAUGAGAAAUUCCGUGAUUUUGGGAUUGAGCCGGAAACUCGCACUUUGAACAUUCUGAUUGGUGCUUACGGGAAGAAAAGGCUGUAUGAUAAGAUGUCAACUGUGAUGGAGUACAUGCGCAAGCUUCAAUUCCCAUGGACAACCGCAACUUACAACAAUGUGAUAGAGGCUUUCGCGGACGUAGGAGAUGCAAAAAACAUGGAAUACACGUUUGAACAGAUGCGUGCUGAGGGCAUGAAAGCAGACACCAAAACAUUCUGCUGCCUUAUUAAUGGGUAUGCCAAUGCAGGCCUCUUCCAUAAGGUGGUUAGCUGCGUUCAGUUGGCUGGAAAGUUUGAGAUACCUGAGAAUACCACAUUUUACAAUGCGGUGAUAGCUGCAUGUGCAAAGGCAGAGGAUUUAAUGGAGAUGGAAAGAGUUUUCAACCGGAUGAAAGAGAAGCAAUGUCAACCGGAUUCCACAACAUACUCUGUCAUGGUUGAGGCAUAUAGUAAGGAAGGUAUGAACGACAAGAUCUACUACUUGAAGCAGGAGAUUGGUACUGAUGGUAAUCAAAGUGAUCAGAUUAGUGUUGAAGAAAAUCAAAGUGAUCAGAUUAGUGCCGAAGAGAAUCAGAGUGAUCAGAUUAGUGUGGAAGACAAUCAGAGUGAUCAGAUUAGUGAUGAAGGCAAUCAAAGUGAUCAGAGUAGUUUUGAAGAUAAUCAAAGUGAUCAGGCUUUUGGAGCUGAGUCUGGCGGUGUUGUCUAGUUGAGAUCUUUGGAGGCAACAGUAUGCUCCAAAAAUCCCUAAUCUCACAGGGCAAUUCCAUUCCCCGCAGUUCUUCUAAGGCAGCAGCAAACUCUUAUUGUGAAAUUGCCGAUCGAUCAGGUAAUCAAACAUUUCCAUUCUCGGAUGGGUGUUAGCAAUGCUGCUUCCUCCAAUUUUAUGUUUCUGGUGAAGGACUGUAUGGAUUGAUCUGAUAGACUGAUAACCCGGGUGAAACUUUAUGGAAAAUGAUUGUACAUACAGAGUUGAUAAGUGUCUCUCUCCAAACUUGAUGCGAUCUCUAAACUAGCAUGCAAAAUUGUACGACGAUUUGUAAGAGUGUUUAACUGUGUUCAACAGAGGAAUUGCUUUUUGUUAUUGCCUGAAAUGUUUUGAAUGUAACUUCACGUAUAUAUUGUCUGCAGCAGCUGCUGGACAAUCAUAGAAGGUGGUCUGUAAACACGUUGUUUUUGAAAAUUAAUCGCUCUUUUCGGUACAUUUUGUGCUGCUGUUGUUCGAAUGUUUUGGCACUUGAGGCAGACAAUUGAUCUGCAAUUAUCCCAAAAUGUAAGGGUCCAGCUCAACAAAACGCAGGGGUAAUUUGAUCAAAGAUGUAAGUUUUGUUAUAUUGACUUUUGAGUAGCAUUGGUAGUGUAAUAAACAAUAUCAGUAACGUUGAAUAAUAAUAAAUUUUACUUGGAUGCCGGCGUGUGUAGUAAGAAUAUGUCCAAAGUGGUUUGGACAACGACAUGAUGGUGCGUUAACUAAUAUGAUCUUAUCACGUGAUGAGAGAUAAAGGAGAGAUGAAUGUAUUCGUGACCUGGAGGUUAUUCUACACGUAAACUUGUAAAGAUAGGCAAACAGGGUGCUUUUUGGUUGAAACGAAAUGCUGAAUUGUUUACUCUUUCUUGUGUAAGAAGAGAAGACUUGUAUCGUAAUCAGGUACUAAUUGUUGUCUUUUGGUCCCACCUUACCUCACACUAUAAAUAAUGGCAUCUAAACCCGAUUAUUCACAGAGAAGCUUUCACAAAAGCAUAAAACUCUUAUAUUUUGGUUUCACUCGCCUCAAACUAGUCUCCCUCGUUGAAAUAGCUAACCUAGUUAGGAACUGUACACAAGUUUCUCUCGUAUCGAAGAAAGUCAAAGAAGUUUUUAGCUCACAAAAGCACAUAACCCCCUAUAUAUUCCAUUUGAAUCACCAUUUACAAAAUUUGUACUAACUUUCCAGUCGAAGAUAGGAUAGUUUCGACAAGUAUUGAACGGCUAAGAUAACUUUAUUUAUUACAUGAAUGGCUAAGAUUAAAAACAAGGGCACGUAGACGAAUACAAACAUCUUCAAUGAGAGGAUCCACCAUUUCUACCAUUGGAAAUUUAAUUUCCUUACAGAAUAGGCGAAAAGUGAAGCGAAAACAAUCGGGAAAGCAAUGAGAACAAUCGCCACGAGGAAUAAACGAUCGUGAUGGAAGCCAUAGUAGUCUUGAAGGAAGGAAGCAACUGUUUUCUGCUCCCCAAAAAUCAAAAUCUCUUUGUUCAUGUCUCCAUAUUGUGAACUGAGGAGGGCAUUUAGGGACCAUGAUGUAGGACAAAUCCAAUAGAACCAAAUCCACCACUUGGGAAUUUUCUGCAUAAAAUAUAUAGAACAUGGUCCGCUAGGCUCACAGUAAACCGUCAUAUUAAGGGUUUAUUUGGCACUGCUUCUUUAGAAAGAACUUUUGCUUAUAAAUUAUAAGCGCUUUUUCUGUAAGUUGUUUAAUAGAGUUAUGUUGCAAAAAAAGCAGUUGGGAGGGCUUCGCAUACUAAAAGCUCUUAAAGUUUUACUACAUAGUCUUUUGGCUUUUCUAGAAGCAGUCUCAAACAGGGCUAAAGACUAAAGAGAGAGUUAGAUUUAGUUACCGGCCCGAGCACAAGGAAGCCGGAAAAAAGAUUCAAUAUGGUGUAGAUUGCCGUUGCGAAAAUGGAAGCUACUUGCAGGCUUGUGCUAAAAGAAGCUAUCAGCAUCCCAAGGUAUACAAAUUAGAGAAAUGUAGAGAAUGUUGCAUGGAAGUACCAGAAAACCUUAGUAGCUGACCAAUAGUACCCUAUUGUAGGGUAUGUAAUAAUGACAUACAGAAUUGCUUGAACCACUUUGUAAGUUAUUUCAAUGGCCACCUACAACAACAUUCAAAAUUUCGACAUGUUAAAAACCUUUCCACUACAAGCUACGUUAUAGUACCAGUUAAAAUGUACGAACCUGUGCAAACGAAUGAGCGUUUGAUGAGUACAUCCCAGCAAAUCUUUCCCGGUACAGAACUGCGCGCUCAGUAGCCACGUAAGGCAGAACCGUCGAGCAAUUGGUUGUGCCCAAAAAUAUUACAGCAAUGUACAGUAACCCAAGCACGUUGAACAAAUCAUGCUCAUUGUUUCUUGAGGAACAAGAAAAACACAGGAUUUAGCGUUGUUGAGCAAAAAUUGUACAUAAUAUGUAAACAAAUAAUUCUCUCGACAUAAUUUCACCCUCGUUCAUUUUUCGAAGAGGGUUUUAUUAGUUUGAGUUUGAUUCAUUCUAGGUUACGCGCCUAUUAAUUACAACCUUUCUUUUGGGAAAGGAAUACCCUUUGAUUCUAAUAUGAAUAAAUCGUAAUUUGAGGAUUUGGGUGUUUAUUUGAUUUUGUGACUGUAUCUAGGUAGAGCCCUAGAUUGCCUACGUACCCUCGUUGAGGGAUCAAAUCACUCGUAGUUCCUUAUGUGUUUUGUUGGGGUUUGACGCCUUGUGCAGUUUCAGCUCAUGCAGAUGAGGAUUUUAAGCCGUUGGAGCUUUAAUAAAUUUGAUAUGGUUUUAUGCCAUUCUGAAAUUUGAUACGGCUUCGUGCCAGUUAACAUAGCUUCGUGCCACUUGAGAUUUUGUUGCGGCUUCAUGCCAUUUGAUAUUUGACUUUUUCUUCGGCUUUACGGCUUCGUGCCAUUGAAUUGGCUUUGAGCCAUUUGAGGCAGCUUUGUCCCAUUUAAAGUGGUUUUAUGCCGCUUAAACGUUGAGUAAAAUUAACAGGUUUAUUUCUGAUAAACCCACUAAUAUUUUGGCAUUUGACUCUGGCUUGGUACCAUUUCUUACUCCAUGUUUAAUUUUACUUUUCCUUUUUCGUUUGCCCUUUCUUCUGACAAAUUUGUAGAGAAUCAUGCUUGGAAUAAAAAAAAAAUUUCCUCUGUUCCUUCAUGGGAUUUACUCCACAAGGGUUUUGUUCAAAGCAGCAGAAGUGAAUUUAGUUUAUACAAACCAGGGAUUCAUCUUGAUUUCUUGGUUGCGUCUAAAAUUUGAUAUCAGACUGCCUACGUAUCCUUAACGGAAUCAAACCGGCGUAGUUCGUAACUUUUGAGACUCAUCGCGGCUUUGUGCCAUUUGAUACUUGAUAUGGAUUCGUGCCAUUUGAAGUUUGACGGAGCCUUGUGGCAUUUGUGUCUUGUAAAUAUUUGUGAUGAACCCACUUUUACAUUGGUAUUUGACUUUGUCUUCCUUUUCAUUUAUUUUGUCUUGGAACCCAUUUUAUUUUGCCUACAAGCCCGUCACUCUAUUGUUGCCCUUUAUUUUUUUGCAUGGUAGCACAAAAAAAAUCCUUGCUUUCAUAUGGAAAAUAUAAAAGCAAGAGUCAAAGCUCCUUUAUUUUUACCAAUGCCUUUUUCAAGCUUUUAAGUCCCUUGCUUUUCUUCUUUCUUUAUUUUUCUUUUGUCAUUGCCGUAUGUCUCCCUAAGAACAACUCCACUUUUGGAGCCCUUUCUCCAUGCAAUCCACUAUUCAAUCCACCAUGUAAACAGUAAUUACCCUUAAUAAACAGUAACUACUUUUGUAUCUCAACCCUUGCACUUGAAUACCCUUGGCAAUAGGCAAUAAAAUAUUAAUUUUUAUAAUUAAUAUUAUAUUAUUUAAUUUGUACAAAUUAAUAUUAUAUUAUUAAUUUAUCUUUUCCAAUCUCUUCCCGAAACUUCUACCAUUUUUGUUUUCUUCUUCCUUCCCACUCUCUCACUCCCCUCUCCCUCAUUGUCUUCUUUUUUUUCUCCGGCCGACAGUCUACCUCCCCUCUCUCUUUUUCUCCCCCAUUUCUCCCUGUUUUCUUCCUCAAACGAGGAAGCUGCGAAUUUUGAGAGAGAGCAGCACCGAACCCACCCGCCUCCCGCCAUGUCUAAAUCCACUGAUGUGUCUUUCUUCCUCCUCAUGGUCCUCUGCGGCCAGGCCCAAAGAGGCCGCCUGCUUCUUUCCGACUUCAACCAAUCAACGUCAUCCGAUCUGAUCUCCGAUAGAGUCCACCACCACCACCGGUCCCACACCCUGGCUCCCUACCUCACUCUCGAGAACGCCCUUUCGGCGGAAGACUCCACCUGCAAGCAGACCUACGUUUUCCUGCCUUGCACCACCACUGUGAUCGACAACCUUUCCUAAUUCCUGACAGAAAAAAAUUAAAAAAAAGGACUGACGCCAGCCUGACGUCAGCCCCUACUCGGGCUGGCAAUUCCUCAUAGACCCUUUGCUCGGGCCUUGGCUGCUGCUUGGGCUUGCUCACGCUGGAGCUGGUCGACAGGGCCUUGGGCUCUUUCUUCUCCCCCCGUCCCUCGAGCAGGAGCUUCCGCUAAAGCUGCUCUAAUGGUUCGAAGAUGAUGGAAUCCAAUUUGAAAUGGCACAAGUUAAAUUUCCAUAAAGAACUCCCAUAACUUUAUUGACCCCUACGUGAGCAACUUUCCAUGUGAGGUGCUGAUUUCAGUUAGCAUUCUUCUUUGAUCUUUUCAAACCCAUUUAAACAUGGGACUUCGAACCUAUCUGACCUAAACUUCUGACCAAUCUGAGAGCAAGCCUUACUCUUUUCUUUGUUUGACUUCAAAGGUCUCCAAAUUCCAAUAAGACUUUAUCCCAUACUUUAAAUGGGGGAACCAUGACUUUCUUUUGUCUUCCACGACUUUCUUUUGUCCUCCACGUGAGUGGUUUUCUUGCUAUGAAGUAAAAGAAGACCACAUCAACAUUUUUUUAACUUUACUUUUGAUUUGACAAAAGCUUUUUGGUCUGGAACUCUUCUUCUCUCCUUAUGAGUUUUAAACAUUUUUUUUUCUUUGUCUUCAACCUUGAAUUUAGCUUUGCCCAACAUUUGACAAUAACUUACUUCAUCUUUGAGGUGCCACGUAUUUAGCCUUUUUUAAAAAAAACAAGCACUUUCUUUUGAGUUUUCUGUUUCCUGCAUGGAUUUGUCUUCACAGGGGUAAAACUAGUCUUCGACUAAAAUCACGAAUCAUCUUUUGCUUGUUGGAGAUUUUUUCUUCAAUUCCUAAUUUAAACAGGAAUUUGAAUGAAACUUGGUCAGUGGCAACUAGCGCCUAUUCUUCUUUGGCUGGGCUUUCUUUGGGUUUCUGUCUCAAUGAAGAACGCCAAAAGUUUUUGAAGAAGACCAUGGCCCGUCGACCGACAGAAGCUUCGGGACCAUAGCUGGGCAUGUUGGGUUCUUGUUCUCCACUUGUUCAAAUGUGCAGAGUGACGGCUUAUUCUCCGUUGCAUCUCUGAAAAGAGGAAGGGAGAUGUCGAAAACUUCUUUAGACACCCAAGAGGCUACAGGAGGUUGUGGGAAGACGAUUUGCUGCUGUGUUUUGAUGAAAUCUCCGUUGGACAUCACAAGUUGCAGGGUGUCGAUGAUGUUGAAGACAUGGCGCAGCUGCUGUCUCUGUUUGGGCUUCCGUCUAACGUCGGCGGUUUAUUGCAAUGUUGCCUUCAUUAGCUAUUUCACACCGCUGCCAUCUUCUUGCUCAAACCUUCGUCAAAUUUGUUGAUGGUCUGGACUGGCGUGCCCAACUACGUCACCUGGUUUCAUCACCUUCGGAUCACGAACUGCACUGCCCUUGGGCUUCUUCCGGAGGACUGACAGAGACGACGGUUGAAAAAUGGUGGUGUUGCCGUAGUGCAGUGAUCACCUAGACCUGGUUGGAACUUCACGGGGUGGUUUAGACCACCCCGAAGAAAUUCAUGGGACUGGGGAUGGGAGAGAAACAAAUUGUUUUUUUUUCUUCUUGCAAAGCCGAGAGAAAGCAUACAAAGAAAGAUUUAGAAGGAUAGAUUUAUACCUUUAAAUGCUUUGUAGCAUUUCCUGCUCUUUGUUCUUGCGGGUAGCACUUGAUAUCUUCUUCUUUUUUCUUCUUUUGUUUCUCUUUUGCCUUUGCUCUCUUGCUUUGCCUCUCAUUCUCUGUUGUCUUCAUUGCGCUUUUCUGUCUCUCAAUUUUUGCAGAGUACCCUUGUCUUUUUUUUUUUUUUUUCUCUUGCUGUAGUUGAUGCCUAUUUAUAGGCAUCCCAAGUAAAGGAUGAUACAUUCCUGAUCUCUUGGGAUUGUUUCCUGUUUCAUCAUGAUUUCCAGAUUUCCCUGUUUUAUUAAAACAUUCCCCUUAUGUAUUCUUUGUAGAUUAAUUAUACUUGUAAAUCAAGUCAUUGUACACUAUUUAAAUCAAUGAUAAUGCACCCUCUAGGGCAUCGAGGGAUUGAGCCAAAAUACCUUCUUUUGAGUUAUCUUUUAUGGUACUCAGAGCCAGUGACUAACGUCUUUUUUUUCUUUUCGGAUUCUUCCUACUCUUCUCCAUGGCUGCCUCAACCAGUUCGACUACUCCUUCCUCCGACAUCUUCCCUUCUGUUUCUCAUGCGAUCUCCAUCAAACUUGACUCUUCCAAUUAUCCUCUUUGGUUGGCUCAGUUGCUACCUGUUCUUCGCAGUCGUCAAUUGUUGGCUUUUGUUGAUGGUACUUCCAUCUGCCCCUCGGCGUUCUUGUCCGACGAUACCGGCAACGCCUCUUCCAAACCCAACCUCGCGUAUGCUGACUGGGUUCAGAAGGACCAGCUUGUUCUUUCUUGGAUCAAUGGCUCUCUUGGUCACCAGGCCCUCGCCGCCACUGCUCGUCAUUCCACUGCCCGUGAUGUUUGGGUUGCUCUUCAGCAGCGUUUUGCUUCUACAAACCAAAGUCGCAUUCUUCAGCUUCGUACUGCUUUCUUCCAGACCAAACGAGGUGAUUCUUCAAUUUCUGACUUUCUUGAUAAGAUCAAUGGUAUUGCCGAUCAAUUGGCCCUUGCCGGGGCACCUGUUUCUGCUGAUGACAUGGUGCCGGUCGUCAUGUCUAAUGUCGGCCCCAAAUUUGAGAACACUGUUGCUGCUGCUCAGGCCCGUGACAACCCCAUCUCCCUUUCUGAUCUUGAGGCUCUUCUUCUCGUUGCUGAACUCCGCCUUGCUGAUCCUCCUGCUCCGCCGGACUCCAGCGUCUCGGCCCUGGUAGCCUCCCGCGGCUCUUCUGCCUUUCAUGGCCGCUCCUCUUCUGAUCGCGGCGGCGAUCGUGGCUCUGGCCGUUUCUCACGUGGGGGUGGUCGUCCUCAACAUGAUGGGUCUCGCAACAAUGGUGGUGACGGCUAUCGUGGCUAUCGCGGUGCUGGUGGUUUCCAUGAUCGUCCGUUUCGCGAUCGUGGUGGUGGUCGUCCUCAGCACGAUGGCUCUCGCUUCCGUGGCUCCAACAAUGCUUCUGGGGUUCUUGGUCCAGCCCCAUAUCACGGUUCCUCCCGUCCUCGCUGCCAUAUUUGCAAUACUUUUGGUCAUGGUGCUCUUGACUGUGCUCAACGUCUUAAUUUGGCUUAUGAAGGUCGUCCUCCUUCUUCCCGUCUCACUGCCUUGACUGCUCAGCACUCCCAGCCUUGGCUCAUUGAUUCCGGGGCAAACUCGCAUAUCACCAAUGAUCUCAAUACUUUGUCUCAGUCCCGUGAUUAUCGUGGUGGUGAUUCCGUCGGUGGUGUCGUUGGCGGUACAGGUUUGCCCAUUAACCGUAUUGGCUCCUCCACUCUCUCUCAUAAUAAUAUUUCUUUCAAGCUUAAUGAUGUUCUUCAUUGUCCGGAUGCUUCUACUUCUGUGUUGUCUGCUAAUCGGUUUAUGUUGGAUAAUAAUUGUUAUAUUACAUUGUUUCCUUCUUGUUUCUAUAUUCAGGAUAUGGAGACGGGGACGAUUCUUUUUUCGGGCAAGAGUAGCAAUGGCUUUUAUCCCUUUUCCUCUUCAUCACCGACUGCUCAUGGUCGUGCUGCUUUUCUUGGUGUUCGUGUUGGUAGUGAUGUCUGGCACUCUCGUUUAGGCCAUCCAUCUUCUUCCAUUUUAAAAUUUCUUUUUUCUAGGCAUUCGAAUAAGUUGCCUGUUUCUGGCAACCUCAAUCUCAAUACUUUUAUGUGUCAUUCUUGUCCUUUAGGCAAAAGUGUUAAGUUACCUUUUUCUGCAUCAUUGUUUGUUACUCAAGCUCCUCUUGAGCUUAUUCACUCCGACGUGUGGAGUGCGUCCAAUAAAUCUGUUAGUGGUUUCCAAUAUUAUGUUCUUUUUGUUGAUAAUUUCUCUCGUUAUUCUUGGAUUUAUCCCAUGAAAUUGAAAUCUGAAGUCUUUAAUAUUUUUACUCACUUUAAGACCUUGGUUGAAAAUCAAUUCUCCACUAAAAUUAAGAUGUUUCAGUCCGAUGGUGGGGGCGAAUACACUAGUCACCAAUUCAAGAAUUUUUUUCUUCACCAUGGUAUUCAUCAUCGUCUCUCAUGCCCUCACCAUCCCGAACAAAAUGGUUUGGCGGAACGCAAACAUCGUCACAUUGUCGACACUGGACUUACUUUAAUGGCCCAUGCGUCGAUGCCUCCUGCCUAUUGGGCUAAGGCCAUGCACACAGCAGUUUAUCUUCUCAAUCGCCUCCCCUCUAAAGUACUUGGUUUUAUGUCUCCUUAUCAAAAGUUGUUUCUUAAGGAACCUGAUUAUAGUUUUUUAAAGACCUUUGGGUGUGCAUGUUUUCCCCACCUACGACCCUAUAAUAAUAAUAAACUCCAGUUUCGUUCUACUAAAUGUGUUUUUCUUGGUUACUCUCUCAAUCAUCAAGGUUCUCGGUGCUUAGACAUCUCUACUAACCGCAUCUUUUUAUCACGCCAUAUUGUGUUUGAUGAAGGUAAUUUUCCUUUCAAGGCCAUCUCUGGCUCUCUUGCCCCAUCCUCCCCGGCCUCGUCUCCUCCUCCUGUUUUAGAAAUCACUGGGCCUCUUCCGCAUGCCCCCCGACCGUCUAGCAGCCAACCGGUGGUUGUGUCCCCCUCUUUGGAGACUCAUCAAUCCAGUCCAUCAUCCGACCCACCACAGCCGGCCCUACAGGUUUACUCCCGUGACCCUCACAGGCGGGUUCUUUCUUUUGCACAAGCAGCAACCCCAUCUGUCACUCCCAGGCCCACGCCUGCUGUUGCCUCUGCAGUUCAACCUGAUGCGCCUCCCGAGGCUCCAUCUGCUGCUGUACCACCUGCCGUGCCCUCUACUUCCCAUGGUAUGCUCACUAGGUCCAAAACGGCUUCUCUUAAGCCUCAUAAAUAUGUUUUUUCUGCUGCCAUUUCUUCUUCUACCGGUCCUAUUGAGCCUACUUGUUUUAGUCAGGCCAACACUUUUCCCGAAUGGCGUACUGCGAUGGCCGAUGAAUUUAAUGCACUUCAACGUGCUGGUACUUGGACUCUUGUUCCUCGUACCGCUUCUAUGAAUAUUUUGCCAAACAAAUGGGUGUUUCGUAUUAAACAGAAUUAUGAUGGGUCUAUUCAGCGGUAUAAGGCUCGUUUGGUAGCCAAUGGUUUUCAUCAGCAACCCGGCCUUGAUUAUGGUGAAACUUUUAGUCCUGUUGUCAAUCACUCUACUAUUCGCUUAAUUUUGGCUCUUUCAGUUCAGUUUCAAUGGCCUGUUCGUCAGUUGGAUGUUCAGAAUGCUUUUCUUCAUGGCUCUUUGUCUGAGGAGGUCUAUAUGCACCAACCUCGUGGCUUUGUUGAUCCACAGUUCCCUCAUCAUGUGUGCCGCCUUCGUCGUUCUUUAUAUGGGCUCAAGCAGGCGCCCCGUGCAUGGUUCCAAUGUUUUUCCACUCAUUUGGAAGAUUUGGGUUUUCGUCCCUCUACUGCGGAUCACUCGCUUUUUACCUAUAUUCAUGGCUCUACUCGCAUUUAUCUCUUAAUUUAUGUUGAUGAUAUUUUGGUCACCGGGAAUAAUCCCUCAUAUUGUCACCCUCAUUAAGAAUUUGGGCAUCCGUUUCUCUAUGAAGGACCUUGGACCGGUUCAUUAUUUCUUAGGCAUGGAGGUGGUCCGCACUCCAUCAGGUCUCUCUCUUUCCUAACAAAAGUAUGCCACUGACCUACUUCACCGCACCAAAAUGCAUGGUGCUAAGCCGGUUCCUACUCCUGCCGUUAGUGGGCGACGGCUCAGUCUUCAGGAUGGUGACCCUCUGCCGGAUCCUAUUGAAUACCGAAGUGUUGUCGGCGCCCUUCAAUACUUGACUCUCACUCGUCCCGACAUCAACUUCGCCGUCAACCAAGUCUGCCAAUUUCUUCACCAGCCGACUUCUACUCAUUGGGCCGCCGUCAAACGCAUUCUUCGUUACCUUGUCGGCACUACUUCUCACGGUCUUACCUACAAGCCUGGUUCCUUUCGUCUUACAGCAUUUUCCGAUGCCGAUUAUGCCGGGAUCCUGAUGAUCGGCGUUCCACCGGGGGCUAUUGCUUGUAUCUGGGUUCCAAUCUUGUCUCAUGGAGUGCCAAGAAACAAAAUGGGGUCUCUCGGUCCAGCACUGAAGCCGAGUAUCGUCAACUUGCAAUCACCGCUGCCACUCUUUCAUGGUUUCGUAUGCUGUUCCGUGACCUCCAGUUUCCUCUACAUUGUCCUACACUGUUUUGUGACAAUAUCAGUGCUAUAUCCCUUGCUUCCAACCCGGUGUUUCAUGCCCGCACUCGGCAUGUUGAGGUGGAUUACCAUUAUGUUCGUGAAAAGGUUGUUCGCAAGGAGAUUGAUGUUCGUUAUCUUUCUACUCAUGAUCAGAUUGCUGACUUCUUCACCAAGGGCCUUUCUCUUCCUCGUUUUCGACUUCUGGUUUCCAAGCUUCCUGUACUUGAUUGUACUGUCAGCUUGCGGGGGCGUAAAGGAUGAUACAUUCCUGAUCUCUUGGGAUUGUUUCCUGUUUCAUCAUGAUUUCCAGAUUUCCCUGUUUUAUUAAAACAUUCCCUUUAUGUAUUCUUUGUAGAUUAAUUAUACUUGUAAAUCAAGUCAUUGUACACUAUUUAAAUCAAUGAUAAUGCACCCUCUAGGGCAUCGAGGGAUUGAGCCAAAAUACCUUCUUUUGAGUUAUCUUUUCCCAAGAAGGCUCUAGAAUUUGUUACGUGGGGGAAGAUGGAGACCAUGACCUCCUGCCACUUUCUGUUAACCCCCUUUUCUGACUCCACGUUUCUUUUUGUUGCAGAAAAUGGGGGAGCACCUGUUUUUUGCACGUUACUUCCCCCCUUAUGUAGGAAAAAAAUUAUAAAUUUUUUAUUUAUUCCUGAAUGUAUUUGUAUGUAAAGCUCAUCCUCAUCUUUUGGGUUGGAUUACAUUUUUGUUUUACCUUGAAGUUUGACUCAAUUUGAAUGGACUUUAUUUUUUCAUAUUUUUUUUGUUCAACAAGCGUAGUUUUCUUUUUCUUUUUCUCUGUGAAAUAUAUAGUAUGAAGAGGGUGGAAAUGGGUCGGGGCUUACAUUUCCUUCACUUUCUGCCAAAAGAUUGUUCCGAACCACACUGAUAGAGCGAAAAUAAACGCGAAACGUGCUAGAUUGUACUUUGGACUUCUCCAGUGGGACAAGUGUUGUUUCCACAGACAUGCCUUAAACUGCACCCAGCUAUUUUGAGCAAAAGGAGUGGGAAGGUUCAAGCCCCUUGAACCCGGCUUUGGUUCGCUCAACCGGCUAACCAACUCGACCGUGUCUCUCUGAAAAAGAAGGAAACAAACAUAUAAAUUUGAUGAUUGAAAUAAAUACAUGAUUAAUCCUAAAAUAAUGGAAAUAUUAGAGAUAUGCCCUUACCUAUACUGAGUAGAGGGUUUAUAAAUUUCAGCAAAAUCUAAACAAAGUUUUGCCUCUACUGAGGCAGAAGUAACUUCUAACAUCCAAGUUGCUGGAUUGUAAUUUUCUUUGAUCUUUGGUACAUCACGAAUAUCCUCAAAAUAUUUGACGAGUUUACUCGAGUGAUGACCGAGAACUCCAGAAUAGAUGAUUUGGCCUCCCCUUUUCAUCAAAAGUAACUGCAAAAAUCAAUGUCUUCCGUUAGUGAUCGAGUGGCUUUUAUGAUUUGGUUUAGUUUUCUUGGACUCCAUGACAAUGCUCGUUAUACUACCUCGUCAAAUGACUGAAAAAUAUCAAUGCUUGGCUUGUGGAUUGUGCAAACAGUUGUCCUUCCUGUGGAAACAACAUUCUUUACUACGCAAAUGGCAAUUGCAGCUGCUCUGGCGUCUAAGCCUGACGUAGGUUCAUCCAUAAAUAUUAUUGAUGGGUUGGAUACAAGCUCCACUGCAAUUGUUAGCCUUUUGCGCUGUUCAGUAGAUAGGCCAGUUUGUCCAGGAAUGCCAACUAAGGAAUCUCUUAUAUCCUCCAGUUCAAUCGUUUGAAUGACUUCCUCCACAAAUUUCUGCAUAGAUUAAGCAAAGGAUACUUUCUUUUAUAUGUUCCAGGAAAUUUGCAUAUUAUUGAUAAAUUGAAAGAAUAUCAUCCUACAGCUUUUAUGUCUGGAUCAGUUUCGUGUGGCAACCUCAACCAAGCUGAGAACAUAAGCGAUUCUUCUACCGUGAUCUGUGGAGAAUGUAUAUCAGUCUGCUCGCAGUAUCCUGAUAUUCUUGCAAAUGUCUUCUGGACCUUGGGGUACCCUCCGAUUCUUAUAUCUCCCACGAUACUACCUCCUGUUUCCCUUCCAGAAAGAACAUCCAUGAGAGUUGUUUUUCCAGCCCCAUGCGGUAGGAAUUCCUGGACUGAAUGCUCCUGUUAUAUCUUUAAGCAACUGAAGCUUUUUCUCCUUGAAAGCAUGCUGUCUCAUUUCCUUUUUUAAGAAGGAAUGAAGUUAAAAUACAACUAAAUAGUUUUCCAAUGAUACUAAUAUGUGAAAAUUGACUAAUGAUUUGAUUAAUUACCGGAGGUGUAUCAACAUAAUACUGCACGUCCUUAAAUGAGAUUGUCAGUGGCUCGAACGGCAGGACCAUUCUCCCUGUUUAACAAAUUGAUUUACUCUCGAAUAAUUCAGUUGUUAAAAAAAUUCCUUGCUCGUUGCUUUGAAUGGAAAAUGUGAAACUGAUAACCCGGAUAAACUGGAUGCAACAAUUCAUCUCACCUAGUGUUAUCUUUUCUCCCAUGGUUUUGAAUAAAUCGGAUAGAGUUGAUUCAUUUUCCAACGGUGCACCAGUUUGGGUUAAUAUUUAACAUUGGGCUUAUAGGAGAGAAAGCCCAAAAGAGUUCAAUAAGAAGAGUUUCGUCCGAAGCCCAGCACCAAGCCCAGACCGUCCAUCUCAAGACCAAUUGGCACUCUCCUAUUAAUGCAAAGGCUAAGUGCUUACAAGAGAAGUGACAACUGAUGAAAAUCAACCUACUCUCAGCCCAAAAGUACUUUUCAGUGGCAAUACAAGUAAAAUAUUGAUGAGUCACUACCAUUCAAUUGCUUUUGGGUAAGAACAAAGCUACAAGCGGUCGGACUAAUUCGUUUAUAAAAGGAGGAAGAGGGCUCAGAGACAAGGACACUCAAUCAAUCAAACAUACAACUUGUCUCUCAUCCAAGCAAAUACCCAGAAAGCUGUGCUUUGUCCAGACUCUGCACCCUUUUAGCCUUAGAUUUCCUUAGAAAGACAUCUUUUUUCUAUGUAAAAGCUCUGCUACAUUUUUCUAAAUGUUGUAGUAUCGAUCCCUCGUGUAUAAACUCGUUUCCAGUCAUCUCCUUUAGUACUCAAUUCUUUUGUAAACUGCAAAGAGAAGAGAUCGCAAGGCGUUUAACCUUGCUUGACAAAGUGAAAUCUUGCCCAACUCUCUUUGUUUUUAUCUUUCAAUUAACAAAUAUGGUGUUAUAAUGUAUUCCGUAGUUUAUAUUCAAGUUAUUUCCAGUCCUUUGAUGACCCAAAGCCCCAUCAGUUCUCAGAUCUGGUUCACUUAGUGGUUUUAUCAAGAAUUGAAAUGAAUUAAACUGAUGACUUGAUCAGAUCUAAGCCUUCACCCCUCAAGCAUACAAAAUAACUAAAAGUCUUUGAUCUCAAGGCAUAGAAAAUAACUUAAUGUAGACUUAAUCCAUCUACAACAAUCCUUUGAUAAACAAGAAGUCAGAAAUAACUUGGGGUGCAAGUAAUCGGCUUAAAACACACUUGUUCUACAUCUGCCAUACAGAGAUGGCAGUGGCACGCCUAAGCACCUAGUUAGUUUUGAAUGCGAGCCUCAAGGCCUAUACCUAAGGCCCCACAAAGGCACCUUUCAGAACUAACUUUGUUUUCCUCUUGCAGUAUUGUGACAAGCAGGAGCCCAACAAUCAACCAAAGUGCCAACUCCUCGGGCAGCUGUGUGCUCGAGCCAGGAACGCCCACCAACCAGAUUUCCUGCCCAAAAAGCACCAGUUUUGCGAGCUCCCCUUCUUCAAAGUUGAGAUAAUCUUUUUUUCGAAACAAUAGCCCGAUACACCUUUGGAGCUGUAUGAGGAAAAGCUUAAGUAAACUGAUGUGGAGCUGUAUGAGGAAAAGCUUAAGUAAACUGAUGAAGUGGAUUGUAAUACUUAAGUUAUCAUCUGUCAAUUAAAAUGAAUCUAAGUAAGUUAAUGCUAAAAUAAAUCCAAGAUCAGACAGCAUUGUGAACCCGAGUAAUGCUCCUACUGAUAUCCAAUAGAAAUAGCCAUCAAAGUUCAAACCAUGCCUGGUUAGAACUUUAUUCCCUAGGGUUGUGUUUCCCUCUGAGACCUAAAGAAAUGAAUUAACACUGUCAAAACACUUAUUCGACUUCGAUGAUCGGGUACUAAAAAAGUUUAUCAUCUUGAGUUGUACCUUUUGCCAGCGAGGAGCGAGGAACUCGUUUAGAGUUGUACCGAUUUCCCCAUAAGUCAUAGGUGAACACCAGAAUAGUCAACGCAACCAAGGAGGUAAAGAGGCUGCAAAACACCCCUUAUUAGUCUAGUUGUAGUUGAAUGUAACUAAAGGAAAAAUACGAUAAAUGGACUUACAUCGUGGCAAGAUGAAGCCUCCGGAUAAAAACAUUAGCACUAGGAUUAAAAUACCGCAAGUUGAUGCAACAACCAUAGUUUGGAAAACUACAGCAAUUAAACGACAUAUGGAUGUCGAUGCUUGAUGGAGAGCAAAUAGCACAAGGAACUGGAAGAAGAACCUAAAAACCAUAGCAUAUUCUUGAGGCAUUAUUAUGAUUAUUGUUCAAGCCUUUCAUGUUCUGUCGUGUGACUAUAAAGUUGAGAUCUUACGUUUUUAUGUCUGGAGCGUACCCAAUCAAAUGGUAAGUUAUUGCUGUCCACAGCAGUGAAUCAAUCACUGAAAAUGGAACCUUCAGGAUAGACUGGAAGAGAAUACGCCCAUGCUGGAUACAGAUUGAAUCCUCUUUGCUUGUAAACCACUGGUAAUCUAGUAACAGUCACAGCUCUGCAAUUCCGUUGGUCAUAAGUCGAAUAAGUGUAUAAAACAAUGAGUUCAUAAAAAAACUUGCAUUUAUCAAAUCCACGGUCCUACGGGUGCUUAUACAGAUUGCCAUUGUAAUAAAUGCAGUGAUGACAAGCUGUGGGAAAAAAAGAGAGAAAAUAUAGUAAGUGAUUUUGAGUUUAACUUCAGAAGUACAACCCCUAAAAGUGAUAUCAUUAGGCAGUAAACCUGAGCUGUUUUGAAUACGUAGAGAAAGGAAUUCCGUUUCAUGAGAAGAAGCUCUCGGGCCAUACAACCUUUGAACAACUCCCAUUUGCUCACAGAGUAAGUACUAAAUGAUAAGGCAUUAUCAUGGCACUGUGAUUUAUUGUAUGGUUUUGAGAGCUCAUCGUCUAAUUUCUUCCCCGAGUAACUUGCUCUGAAAAGUUCAAAAAAUUUGUUUGCAGAAACAUGACCGUAGGGAAUGUUAUCAUGCUUCCAGUAUUGUGCUUGAUCCUUCUUUGAGAUCACCUCUUGAAGGAAAUCUGCAGCACCCUUUCUUGGUGGGCACUUGAAACCAGAGUCUUCGAAAAACUCAACUGCGUGGCUGCGAUGACCGUGGUAAACUAUCUUCCCCUCUGCCAUUAGUAUUACAUCAUAAAAAAUAUCAAUGGUCUCGGGUGCUGGUUGGAGAAGUGAUACCAAUGCAGUUGUAUCUGUGAUAUGCACCAGCUGCUGAAGAUAGGUAACUAUCUGAAAGGUUGUAGAACUGUCUAAUCCCGUUGAUAUCUCAUCCAUAAAAAGAGCUUUUGUAGGACCUACAAUCAUUUCUCCUGAAGAUUAAACAGAAGAGGAAUGUUAUGUUUGAAACAUUUUUCUACAUGGGAAUUAGUAAUUACAUUCAAAUUUCCCUCGGAUUCAAGAUUUCACUACCGGUUGUCAGCCUUUUCUUCUGGCCACCAGAAAUGCCUCUUCUUAAUGCAUCACCAACCAUUGUGUCACUCACUACACAUACCCAGUCCAAGUAUCUAAAGAGAUUCCAAAAUAUCGUAAUUCAUUUUUCCUGUCCGAGUGAGUUAGAAAUGUCACGUUUGAACUACUUAAUGUCAGCAUUGUCCAUGUCCAACACUGGUUGGAGAAAAAUUUACCUUCAAAACAUAAUCGGUUUGGAGAUUUUCCCUUUGUCCUUCAACUGAAAUGGCCUGUGAGUAUUAUGUAAAUCUCUAAAACCUCUAACACAAAAGGGUGGUAAGAUUUACUAAAAGGAAUGUUAUGAGACUUUACAAUUACCUUCAUGUAGGUGUCAAUAUCUGGAUCGGGGACUAUUCCUGCUUCUUUUUCCCUUCUGCUGAGCUCCAUUAUUAUAUAUGCAUAAAAUACGAUCGAAAUUAAACUUCAUACGUCAAUAGAAGUACACGACUAACCCAAUAGUAAAUGCAAUAGGGGAUAAGGAAUAUGCACCAGCUCUACUGCCAACACCCUGGCAGCGGGAGGAAAAGUCAAUUGUUUCCCUCAGUCAUCUCAGGCAGGUGAAGGUCAUGCUGGCUAAUGUAAGCUGAUGUUUUUUGGGGAACAAACUCAUCUAGCUUGUAACCAUUAUAAGUGUUGUAAACUGAAAUAGAAAGGAACGAAGUUACCUAAAAAAAUGUAGAAGCCUUGAGUGGUGAAUGAUUAUUGGGAUGAGUUGCGGACUAAGUCGCUUUCUUUAAGACGUUUCGCGGCUCUACCCAAAGUGUGCAAGCAGUUCACAAACACCACAUCGUCCUAGGAUAAAACAGCCCAAAACCUUCUUCUUCUUCUUCUGAUAAAGUUCUUCCUUGUACAGUAGAAGAACCUUCGAAUUCACAUUCUCUCAAUAUGUUGCUAACCAAAACUAUAUAUUAGAAAAUAUAUCUUCUUUUUUUUCCGCAUACUUUCAAUGAUCCAGGGACUACUAUAUAUACAUUUAGACGAAAGAGAUGUUGAGGGUUUGAGAAAAUUGAAAGCAGGACAAAAUCAAAACGUAAGUCAAAUAAAACGGUUUGAUUAUGUAUCAUGACAUGAUCUUCUUCUCUAUACAAAGAAGGAAUGGCACGUUUCAAACUUAAAAGGAGAUAACUCCUUACCUAAUUGAAAAGUCAAAAUCAAUUGGCAGUUAUGCAUAGAAUAUUGGUAAUAAAACAAAACGUUAUGUAUAUAAUAUUGGUAAUAAAAUAAAACAUAAAUAUAUUUAAAUAUUUAAAUAAAAACAUAUUUACUCAACAAUCCCCCACUUGUUUUUGUUUAAAACUAUACAUCAAGCAAUAUAUCGUAAAGCUAUACAGAAGUAAAUGUGUUUCUCAACUUAAAUCUAUACAUAGUGUUAGUGAUCGAGAUUAUACUAGAGUAACUUAUAGUUUUGAACUCUAUCCCUAACAACACCACACACACAACUUUAUUAAGGUGAAGUUCAAAAAGCCAGCACAUUACAACCAUGUGCUUGUAUCCCAGUAUAGUGAACGCUCUAGAAACUUGCUCAAGAUUUCAUAGGAAGCGGCAUCACUUCCACAUUCACAUAGUUAAGACUAUCAAGGUAUUCCUGUAGCUAGAUAUCUCACUUAACAUAGAGUAUAGACCUUACUAAGAGAAAAAAAAAUCUCAACCUAAAUACGCUUCAGGAUGUCAUGCUUCUUAGGGAUGGACAUGGAAUAAUAUUCCAAACUAAAAUUAGCAAGACUUCACUCUUAUCACUUGUGACUUGUUAUUACCCUUUGAACCUAUUUCUUGGGAUCUCUAGUCUAUAGGUUGGGUUGCUAUCACAAAUAACUCAAUUCUCUAGGGCUUUAGUCCCAUCCCUUUCGAGGUUUUCCAAACCUUUUCUCGUGCUAGUCCUUUUGUCAAAGGAUCAACCAAGUUUUCUUCAUACCGUAUAUGAUCCACUCUCACAGCUCCAUUAGACAGGUAAUCUCUUACAGUGAUGUGCUUACGACGUAUUUGUCGCCCUUUCCCAUUAUAAUAAUGAUUUUGCACUUUAGCUAUUGCCGAUGUGCUAUCACAAUGGAUCAAAACUGCUGGAAUCGGUUUCUCCCAUAAAGAGGUAUCUGACAGUAGGUUUCUCAACCAUCCUGCUUCUUCGCUUGUCGUAGCUAGCGCUAUUAAUUCUGACUCCAUAGUGGACUGAGCCAUGAUAGUAUGUUUCUUAGACUUCCAUGAUACAACCCCACCACCAAGACUAAAAAUACAUCCACUAGUGGCUUUAGAGUCAUCUGAAAGGGUAUUCCAAUCAGCGGCACUGCAACCUUCUAGGACAGCGGGAAACUUCUCAUAGUGUAAUCUAAAAUUCAUUGUCCUUUUAAGGUAUCUCAUAAGCCUAUCUAUGGCAUGCCAAUGCUCCAAACUAGGUCUACUAGUAAACCUGCAUCAAACUCCUACGACAUAAGAUAUAUCAGGCCUAGUGCAAUCAGUAGCAUAACGAAUGCUACCAAUAAUACUCGCAUACUCAGAUUGUUUAACACUGUCACCAAUGUUCUUGAACAAUUUUACACUAGGAUCAUGAGGAGUACAUGCUGGUUUACAAUCAAAAUAAUUAUACUUUCUUAAAAUUGUUUCUAUGUAGUGAGAUUGAUCUAAAGAAAACCCAUGUUCAAACCUAGUUAUUUUCAAACCAAGUAUUACGCUAACUUCACCCAAGUCUUUCAUAUCAAAAUUAGCAGAUAACAAAGAUUUGACAUUAUUCACAACAUGAAUAUUCGAACCAAAAAUAAGCAAAUCAUCCACAUAUAGGCAUAUAUUACUUUCAGACUUAUAAUAGAUGCAUUUGUCACUUUCAUUUAUUUUAAAACCAUUUGAAGUAACCAAACUAUCAAAUUUUGCAUGCCAUUGUGUGGGAGCCUGUUUCAAUCCAUAAAGUGACUUAUUUAACUUGCAAACUUUAUUUUCUUUUCUUGGAAUAAUAAAACCUGUGGUUGACCCAUAUAUAUUUCUUCCUCUAAUUUACCAUUUAAGAAAGCUGUUUAACAUCCAUUUGGUGCACAACAAGAUCAUGAAUAUAAGUUAAGGCAAACAAUACACGAAUAGAUGUUAUUCUAGUCACAGGUGAACAAAUAUAAAAGAAAUCAAUCUUUUCUCUUUGUCUAUAGCCUUUGGCAAUAAGUCGGGCUUUAAAAUUUUCAACUGAUCCAUCAGGUUUUAAAUUUUUUUUAAGAAUCUAUUUGCAACCUAUUGUUUUGCAACCAGGUGGAAGAUCCACCAAGUGCCAAGUUUGAUUUGACUCCAGGGAGUCCAUUUCAUCAUUUAUAACUUCUUGCCAAAAAAUUGCAUCUAAAGAAGUUAAAGCUUCUUGAAUUGUAUUAGGAUCUUCUUGUAAGUUAUAUACAUGGAAAUCAGGGCCAAAAUCUUUAGCUAUUCGAGCUCUUUUACUUUUCCUAGGUUCUAAUGCAGAUUGACUAUGUUUUACAACAUUAGGUUCAUAAAUUUUAGAAGAAUUAGAACCCCCACUAUUUUGAAGAUUAAAAGGAAAUUUAUUCUCAUAAAAAUCAGCAUCAAGUGACUCAAUUAUGACAUGGUUUUUCAAAUCAUAACAUCUAUAUGCUUUGCUAUUACAUGCAUAACCAAUAAAAACACAUUCAUAUGCUCUACUAGCCAAUUUCGAUCUUUUUGGACCAAGUUUACGAACAUAAGCUAAACAACCCCAAGUUUUGAAAUACAAUACAUUUGUUUUCUUAUUUUUCCAAAUUUCAUAAGGAGAGAUAUUCGAUUCUGAGGUAGGAAUUCUAUUUAAUACAUAACAUAUAGUCAACACAAUUUCACCCCACCAAUAAGAAGCAGCUCCAGAACUAAGUAGCAACACUCAAUUCGCAAAGAGUUCGAUUUUUUCUUUCCGCUUUACCAUUCAUUUCAGGAGAAUAAGGAGCAGUAGUUUCAUGAAUAAUUCCAUUAGACUUAAACAAAUUAACAAAUUCAAUGGAUUCAUAUUCUUGUCAUCUAUCACUACGAAAUCUUUUAAUCUUAUGAUUAAACUGAUUUUCAACUUCAGUAAAGAAAGUUUUGAACAUGUCAAUAGCUUUACUUUUAUUUUUCAUAAGAUAGACAAAACAGUAAUUCAAACAAUCAUCAAUAAAGGUAAUAAAAUAACGUUUUCCAUUUCUAGUUAACACUCUAUCAAAUUCGCAUAUAUCAGAAUGAAUUAAGUCAAGUGGUUCAGAUUCUCUAUUGACAGAUUUAUGUGAAGUUCUAGUGAUUUUAGCUUGACUACAAUAUUCACAUUUUUCAAAAUCAGUCAACGAUAAGUUAGGUAAAAAGCCUAAGUUACUCAUGUUCUUAACCAAGAGUUUGUUAACAUGACAAAGUCUAGCAUGCCAAGUAUUAAAAGAAGACAACAUGUAAUCAGAAGUAGACAUUUUAUCAACAUUCAAUUUAAACAUUCCAUUAGUAGCAUAUCCCUUUCCCACAAAAACCCCAUUUCUAGUAAGAGUAUACGUAUUUGCUCCAAACGUUUGAGUGAAUCCAGCCUUGUUGAGAAGUAAGCCUGAGACCAAAUUCUUCCUUAUUGUUGGAGCAUGCAUCACAUCUUUCAGUAUCAUGGGUUUUCCAGAGGUGAACUUUAACUCCACCUCUCCAGUACCAGCAACAUCAGUUGAGUGCGAAUCACCCAACAACACAUUUCUUCCCUCAGCCAUAGAAUAGGUCUUGAAAAGAGAACGAUCGUAGCAAGCAUGGGGAGAAGUGCCAGUGUCCACCCACCACCCACCACCCCUCGGACUAAGUUGAUUUCUGAUAUCAUUGCAAUUAGUUGCUCUUCAACAAGAUUUGUUUGAGAAGCAAAGUUUUCCUUAUAAUGCAUGGCAGAUUGAAUUCAUCUUAAAAUUGUUGUAAACUGAAAUAGAAAGGAACGAAAUUACUCAAAAAAAAUGUAGAAGCCUUGAGUGGUGAAUGAUUCUUGGGAUGAGUCAGGGACUAAGUCACUUUCUUUAAAACAUUUUGCGGCUUUGCCCAAAGUGUGCAAGCAGUUCACAAACACCACGUCGUCCCCAGGAUAUAACAUCCCAAAACCUUCUUCUUCUGAUGAAGUUCUUCCUUGCACAGUGGAAGAACCUUCGAACUCACACUCUCUCUCAAUAUGUUGCUAACCAAAACUAUAUAUCAGAAAAUAUAUCUAUUUUUGUUCCGCAUACUUUCACUACUAAAUAUACAUUUAGACGAAAAAGACGUUGAGAGUUUGAGAAAAUUGAAAGCAGGAAUAAAACGGUCUUAGGUCCGAUUCUCGCCGAAGGCGAAUUUGAACCACUAAACCGUAGCACUAAGUGGCUCCUAACAAUGUCUCUUAACAAGUUUAGAGGUAUUUGUCUUCACUAAUAAAUGAAAAGCGUUUGAAUUUCAUGAAUGACAAGUGCAAUACAAAAUUCAAAUUAUCAUGGUUCUUCCAUUAUAUGAUUUAACCAAAGCAUACCAUCUCUUAGUGUAAAUAUAUCAUUGAACUAUCAUUGAAGUAGUUCCAACAUUCGUAUACCAUCUUAAUUAUCAAUUUACUAUUACAAAAUUUCUAUUAAUUUUUCUUUACAAACUAAAGUGUUAUUAGGCUAAGUUGUUAAAUAUUAGGAGAUGAGUAGGGAUCGACCCACCGCCAAAGUACAUAUAUAGGUAUUACUGUUUUCUGCUACUAUGAUAAAGUGUAAUAUACUUCUAUAUAUUAAAAGAAAAUUCACUGAUACAUUUCCACAUGUAAACAUUCAACAUUGGACAUAUAUAAUAUUUUUCCCUACUUCUUUGGAAAUUUAAUUUUCCAAUGCAAUAGGCAAAUAGGGAAACAAAGACAAUCCCAACUGGGAAAGCAAUGAGAACAAGAGCCACAAGGCCUAAACAAUCAUGGUGGAAACCAUAAUAAUCUUGUAGGAUUAUUUUCUAUUUAAAAAACGUAUGUGAACAUACACAUUAUUUUCUAUUAUAAUAUGUGUAAGUUUAUGAAGGGAAAUAUUCACUAAAAUGAUCAAAAAUCAAAUUCUGAUGCCAAAACAAAAUCAAAUAUUGUCAUACUGAAAAACUAAUCAUUUCAACAAAUGAGAUUCAAAUAUUUGAUUAUUUUGGCCAAUUUUCCUGUAUUGAUACCCUAACCUAAAGUAUAAAUUACUUGCACAUCCAAAUUAUAACACAUGAAUUAACAACACUCCGUCAAUUAGACUUGUGUUACAUGUAUUUACACGGUUAUUGUCAUUCCAAGUGCUCAAAUGCUAAUGGAGUUACACAAAACCAUCAAAUAUUAGAAAAGAUUGGAUUCAAGAUAUACUAAGUAUAAUGUACAGAAUGUUGCAUAUAAAGUACCAGAAAACUUUAGUAGGUGACCAAGAGAACCCUAUUGCAGGAUAUGCAACGGCUACAUACAAAACUUGUAACAUUGUAUAAUGUAUUUUAAUGGCAACAUGCAACAUUUAACACUUUACACUAUAUUUGGAUGAGGAAGUUUAAGAUUGCUAAGGAAAUUUAAAGUAACGGAAAUUGAAAUGAUGGAAUUUUAUUUUAUAGAAUAUGUGAAUUUUCUUGUUUGGUUGAGGAAAAUAAACUUGGAAUUUAGAUAAAAGUCAGAAUUUGUAAAUUGACAUGCACCAGUUUCCUUGUUUGGAUUCAUAAACAUAUAUAGGAAUUUAGAAUUUUCGGGUGAAAAAAAAACUUGGAAUUUGGGACCUCCAAUUCCCAAGUUUAAAUUCCAUGUAAAUAUGUAUCAUUUCCCAAUUUCUAUGAUUGAGUGCUUAAAAAUAACAAAUUCCGUAAUCAAUUCCAUUUAUUUUUAGGUUAACCAAACAAGAGAAUUCACAAAUUCUAGAAAAUAAAAUCCUGUCAAUUCAAUUUCCGUCAUUUUAAAAUUCCUUAGUAAUCUUAAAUUUCUUCAUCCAAACAUAGUGUUAAGAACAAUGGAAUUUGAAAUGAAAUUUGUUAUUUUAAACCCUCAUUCAUGAAAAUUCAGAAAUGACACCAAUUUACAUAGAAUUUAAAAUGGGAAUUAGAUGUCCCAAAUUCCAAGUUUUUUUCUCAUGCAGAAAUUCUAAAUUUCUAUGUUUAUGAAUCCAAACAAGAGAAUUGGUACAUGUUAAUUUUUAAAUUCCAGCUUUUAUCAAAAUUCCAAGUUUAUUUCCCUCAUCCAAACAUAGUGUUAGUUUAAAACUGUGAAGAUUUUGAUUUAUCGAUUACAAACUAAAUAAGUACUUGAAUUCUUAGGCACUUCAACGUAUGAACUUGUGCAAAUGAACAAGGUCGGCCCUGAGAUUUUGAAGGCCCGAGCUAAGCUACCAAAUAGGAGCCCUUUAAUUCUUAGGCACUCCAAUUGGUUGUAGGUUCAUAUACAUUUUAUUUUUAUAGUAAAUACUCAUUAAUUUAUUAUUAUAUCGUACUCUUAUUUAAUUAAUAAUCAACAAUAUGCUAAAGUUUUAAGAAGGUGUUUGGACCCAAAAUUACAUCAUCGGCCCGUGCAAUCAAGGCCGUUGAGUAGGCAUAGCUCUCAAUCGUCGGAUAAAAAAGCAGAGAUAAUUUUGUUAUUAAAGGAUAAUAUUAUGGUUUUUAUCAUAAUUAUCUUUUAAUGAUUUAUCUCGACAUCUUCUUAUGAAAGAGGGAAAAUAUAUCUCCAAGCUGGAAACACGCAGCACAAUUCAAAGCGAUUUGGAUGUUUGGCGUGUGGAUGUGGUUUGGAUCGGUUUUAGUUGACAAAUAUGCAUGCAUGUGAUAAGGGUGAAGUAAAAAUGGUGAUAUGCUUUGAAAAUGAGUCUACAUGUGUUGGUGAUAAGAUGGCAGCAACUGCCUUGCUGACAAUUAACAUUGGGUAUUUUAUGCUAAAUCAUGCAUAUUGGUAUAUGCUUUUGUAUUGUGGGCCAGCAUAUGUUUUUUUUUUAUGGAGCCAAAUUCAUUUAACAAUGGAUAUUUGGAACAAUAAGAAGUUUAAGUAGGCAUAGGCCUUUGAGAGUUUGAGUUUCAGUUGGUUUCUACGAAAUCAUCAAGGCCACGCCAAGCGGGAUCAUGCAUAUUUGAAAGAGAAUAUUCCUAUUAUUUUGCAACUUACGACGGCAAUCUUACGGUUAUAGAGGCAAUGACAACAUAAAGGUGGUAUUUCGAAUUCAACACACAAACUGCCAUGCACAAACUCUUGCUCUACGCGAAACCUCUUAACAACCUUGAGAUUUUUAUUUUCCUUUUUCGCCAACACAUCUUCAGUUUGGAUAAAUAGCACUAUGAAGGCAACCGGUGAACAUCUUCACUUUGGAUAAACAAUACUAUAACCGUAGAACCAUUCGACCAUGAAGCACCUUUAGUUUGGAUAAACAACAUUGCUCCGAGACCGAUUGAUUACCUAUCCAAGUCUCGGUCAAGAAGAAUUUUCAAGUCCUUACUAGUAGAGAUCAUCUCAUCAGCCUUCUCGACGAAGUGAGGUGUUACCAGGUUACUACAUUCGGCACCCUGAGAGCCCAAUUUGAUAUUGAACUUCGUAGAACUAAUAGCCUUGUCUUCAGGUUCUAGAACCUGAAGGUCGAGACGUGUUCAUUUCUCGACCGCAGUCGUGAGAUUCAGAAGUCAAUAGUGCGCCCAAUGCAACAUCAACUCAUUUUACUUACCGGUCAAGCUCGACCGUCGAGUUGGCAUGCCCCACACACAACCGAAGGACAUAGUUAGCUUUUUAAUUACUCGGCUUGUGCGCCACGUAUACUUGAUAGUUUUUAAGAUCAACAGAAGGUAAAGAGCAAUAAAAACUGAUUAACGAAUUUAACAAAUUUAAUAGCGCCAAUUGAUCCUCUUGUAUUCUUCUUGAAAUCAAUUUCACAAUAACGAAUAUUAGAAUCAUGAGAUGAUUGAUAAUAAAUUAUUGAAACAGAGAAGAUAUAGCAAAUAAGAUAAGGUAGCUGGCAUUUGAUAGCGAUUUUGCUUGUAAAACUACACUUUUUGUCCAUCCAGAAGAAACCCAUUCUUCUGUUACAUGGCUUAACCGUGACCACACAAAACAGGAGAGCACGGGAAGGGCACCAGAAGUGGAGGGCAAACAAUCCUUGUCCGUGCUUUGUCCAUCGAGAAUAAGAAAUUGUAGGGACUAGGGGCCCAUUGCUCUUUUGAGAUGCAAGUUAAGGGACCUAACAAAGGGAAGUAAAAAGCAUUGGUAGGACAAAACAAGCCGUUUUAGGAAAACAACUUGGGGGAAGAUUCUCUCAUUUCCUAAUCUCUCUCCCAUUUUCUCUCCUUCUAUUUGAACGGUUACGGUUUAGCUACGUCAAUAUCUUAUAUAUAUAUUUUUAGAGACGAUAAGACAAAAAAUAAUAUGUGGGAGAAGGGAAAAGAAGGGGAUGAGAAUAGGAGGGGAGAUAAUUCUCUUCCAAACAACUUGCCUAUACAAUUCGGAUUCUAAGACGGUGGUAUCCCAAACGAAUCUCAUCCGACUAUGUGUUUAAACAUUGCACAUGACACCACGUGAUUGUUAAAACAUUGUCACCGUAGUGUAUUGUACAUAUACAUGAUUGUUUUGAAGUAACAUCAUCAUUGUGACAUAUUCAUGACGUAUGCUUAUCUCGCCGACUAGAGUUUCAGAUUCCUAACCAGGCGGGCAUAAACGUGCUUACAGCCUAAAAGGCCUUAACCUCAUAGAUCUGAAAACACAUUUCUGUCGGAGAAAUUGUCAAGAAUAAGAUACGAACUAGAGUUUACUCCGGGCAAGAUACCUGAGAUUUUUAGCCGUUAAAGUCAUUGAAUUCUUGACCAAUGAUCUAACAGCUAAGUUCACAUUGUAUAACCGAGGCACACUACAGAACGUAGAAAAAAAUAAUGGGGAUUAAAACGCUUCAUUGGGUAGAGGGAUAAGUGACAAAACAAUGAGAAAAAACACAUCAAUUGUAUUAGAAAUGCAACUUGCCAAUGUGCACAACAACAAAUGAACAUAGUUGCUACUCCACCGCAAAACCACCUCUGUGUCUGUCAAAUCUUAUUAAUCUCUGCGAGCAGAGGUAGCAAAACAACCUUGAAAAAAAACCCCCCACAACUUUCCAUAUGUUUUUUUUGACACCCCCGUUAACCCCUCAUAAUCAUAAACUACUAAUGACACAUUCUUCAAAGAACACGAAAAUAUAAAAAUACUAAUAAAAGAAAACCCAAAUGGCGCAAUGCCUGUAUAGAGAGAGAGAGAGAGAGCGAGAGCAGCAGAGGCUUAAUUCAAUUCAAUGUUUUGAUUCGAAGGGGUGAAGACUGAAGAGCCGCCAUUAAAGCUUUAAGCUUGGGGCUUGUCCCACUUGAGUGGCUUGACAACCUCCCAGGUGAAGUCGGGGUCAUCCCUCCCGAAGUGUCCGUAGGCGGCGGUCUUCAAAAACCUUCCAUUGCCACCCCUCUUGAG